rnacentral:lncRNA from 1 species
UUCACACCAAACAUGUUUUCAUGAGGGCCACCGUGGUGGUGCAUAUCUUCAAGACGGCCACGUUGAUAAUGCAGGUUGUGCAUGGACAUGCACUUUUUUAGUACUCUCCUAUAAAGCCCUAAUAUCUCUCCACUUUCACUUCAUCAUCAAACAAUUUAGUAACCAUGUCUACUGCAUACUUUCUAGUGUUCUUCCUUGGGCUAUUGGUUCUCGCGAUUCCCGCGGCCGCCCAUGGUGGUUCUGCCUAUGACGAGGAGAGGCAGAAAACUCUUGUAGAUCGUUUUUAUGCUAGAAUCAAGAACAAGCCCACAACCAUUCAUUUAGCAGAGGAAGCAUCCAGGAAAACCACCAUGAACCAAGAGGGAGAACCUAAGUCCAAGCAAGCAGGUUGUCCACCGGCAGCAACUGCCAUGAAUCGAGCGGAGCAACCAGCUAAGCCCGCAGGUUGUCCACCGGGAGCAACCUGCAUGAAUGCAGCGGAGGAAUCACCUAAGCACAAGUCAGCAGGUUGCCCACCGGCGGCAACCACCAAGAAUCUAGCAGAACAACCAGCUAAGCCAGCUGGUUGUCCACCAGGAGCAACCUGCAUGAAUGCAGAGGAGGAAUCACCUAAGCACAAGUCAGCAGGUUGCCCACCAGCAGCAACCGUCAUGAAUAAAGCGGAACUUCCAGCUAAGCCGGCUGGUUGCCCACCGGGAGAAACCUCUAGGAAUGCAGCGGGAGAAGCACCUAAGUCCAAGCUCGCAGGUUGUCCACCAAAACCAACCUCCGUGAAUGAAUGGGAGAAACCACCUAAGCCAGCAACCGGCUCCGAUGCUGUGGUGAAAGGGCAUAACCCGGCUUCAAUACCAAAAGGGGGAAGUGAUUGACGACUUCUGUAAUAUUGUCAACAAUGUAGUUUCUACAAACAAAAUAAUAUUAUCAUGGAAAACUUUUAUUGCAAUCUAUGUUAAAUGAAAUCUUACCGUAAAAAUGCUUUCUAAAAUAUCUUGAUUGCCAUGUUUUGGUUAUGUUCAUUUCACAAGGUCCUUUCUUUUGCAUAACAAGACAUUCAUGUUUUUAGUAAAUGAAUUAUAUGACGAAAUCAAUGCAUAAGGUGCUCGACCUGAUUUUAGUGCAAAUAUUGUUAAUAGAUCAUUUUUGGACAAAAUGUACAAGAUUCUUAAUUUACUCAAGUUGUAAUUAAAGCUCAAACAAUAAGUUUUGAGUGAAGAUUGCUGAUCAAGACAUACUAUGCAUAUUAUAUGUCAUGCUCAUGAUUCGUGGAAAUUAAAAUUUUAAUUUUAAUUUAAGUCAAAGUUGACAACUAAUUUUAAAUACGAAUUUUAUGUGAUCCACAACUUUUUAAUCAUAAAUUUCAUUGACUUAUAUCAAAAUUUACUAAAAAACUGAUUUUAAUCCUUACCUAACAUAGUCUAUAUAUACUAUUACGAGAAAGAAAAAUAGUGUUCUUUUUAUUGCAAAACAAUUUUUUCGAAAUAUUAAGUCCCGUUUGAUAAAGAUUGAAAUCAAAUUUUUAGUUGAUAUUGAUAAAAGUUGAUGGAAUGUAUUGUUAAAAAGCUGUAGGUUCUAUAAAAUGUGAAGUUAAAAUUAAUUGUUAACUUUGACUUAAAUUUUAAUCAAAUUUUUUAAUAGUACCAAACAAGGGCUAUGAUGAUUAAAAAAAUAAUAAUAAUAAAUUAGAUUUUACGGGUGCACUAUAUUCUUUAGCCUAUUUCUGAAAACGCUUUUAAUCCCAAUUCUGUCCGAUUUUGAUAGAUUGGUCAGAGAGUUUUCGUAAUAAAAUAAUUGAUCCAAUACGGUGACCAUUUGACUAGAUGUUGCAAGGUAGGAUUGCAUUUUUUAUGUGACUAUUUUACCCUUCACAUUUCUAGCAAAAUGACACGAAUGCUCCUCAAAUAUUUUAUGCUUGCCCAACAAUGAAGGGUAAAAAUGACAGUUGACAUAGUGCAAUCACAUUUGACUUGUCAAUUAUGUCAUAAAGUGGGAGAAAAAGAAAUGUUUGAAUAUGUAAUGGUGCAGAUGUUAUAUACAACAAGUAAAUGACUAUUCUAAGAAAUAUACUAUAGCAAGGAAUUUAUAAAGGGAAUAAUUAAAAUCCUAUAAUCUUGCAUAAUAAGAAAUUGAUUAUUUCCAUUUGAGGCCAAUACAACUCAUUUGACAUUCCCAUUCAAGUAGGAGCAUAUAUGUUGUCCAUUCCUAACUCGCUAAUUGAGCUAUGAAAAACUCUUCCUUUAGGUGCUUUGGUGAAGACAUUUGCAAGUUGAUCUUUGGACUUAACAAAUUGUACUUUAAUAAUCUUAGCCUCAAGCUUUUCUUUAAUGAAAUGUCUAUCAACUUUAACAUGUUCGGUUCUAUCGUAUUGCACUAGAUUAUAUGCAAUGACAAUUGUAGCUUUGUUGUCACAAUGUAAUUUCAUUGCAUGUUUAGGUUCGAACCCCAAAUCUAUCAUCGAGUUCCUAAUCCAGAGUAUCUCACGUACUCCAUAUGCCAUACUCAUAUAUUUUGUUUAAGCACUGGCUCUUGACACCACACUUUGUUUCUUACUCCGCCAAGUGACCAGAUUACCUCGUACAAAAGUAAAGUAUCCAAAUGUAGAUCGUCUAUCAUUAGCAAAACUUGCCCAAUCUGCAUCAUUAUGAUCUUCAACAUCUAGAUGACCAUGAAGUGAGAAUAUUAAUCCUUUUCUGAUAGCUUACUCCAAAUAUCUAAGAAUUUUAUUUACAACAUCCAUGUGAGCUUCACUUGGCGCAUGCAUGAAUUGACUGACCAAACUUACUAUAUGUGCAAUGUUAGGUCUAGUAAGUAAUGGAUAUAUCAACUUACCCACAAGGCGUUGAUAUCAUUUUUGUUGGUGGAACCUGGCCAGGAUAUUCAAUAAAUUUAUGAUUAUCUUCCAUCGGAGUCUUUGCUAGUUGGUAAACUAGCAUUCUUGUGUCGAUCAAAAUGUCAAAGUUAUACUUCCUAUAUGAGAGAAAUAUUUCUUAUUUCGAACAAGCUACUUCAAUGCCCAAAAAAUACUUCAGAGAACUGAAGUGCUUCAUCUCAAAAAAUCACUUUCUAAUUGACAUUGUAACACCAUCUUUUCUUUAGGGUCAUUCCUUGUAACCGCCAUGUCAUCAACAUAUACAAUAAGGAUAGUGACCUUAUCUUUUCUAUGUUUCAAGAAAAGGGUAUGAUUUGAGUUACUUUGCUUGUAGUCAAAAUUCUUCAUUGAUUUGUUGAACCUCUGAAAUUAUGCUCUUGGUGAUUGUUUCAAUCCAUAAAGGAAUUUUCGUAGUUUACACACUAUAUUGCUCUAAUUUAGUACUAUCUUGAAUCCUAAAGAGGAAUCCAUAUAGGCUUCUUCUUUUAAGUCUCUGUGUAGGAAGGACUUUUGUUUUGUUUUGUUUUGUUUUUUGUUUUUGUUUUUUUGUUUUUACUUUGAACUAGUGUAAUAGCCAAUCCAUGUUUGUUGCUAAAGAUUAAUGUACUAGAAUUGUAUUGAACUUUACCAUUGGAGCAACGGUUUCACCAUAAUCAAUUCCAUAAGUUUGAGUAUAUCCUUUUGCCACCAAUCUUGCUUUAUAUUGAUCACUGGUGCUAUCUGAAUUUUGCUUUACAUAUCUAUCAGCAACCUACUAUUCCUUUUCCUGUAGGAAGGUUAGUCAUUUUCCAUGUGGAAUUUUUUAGAGGGCCUCUAUUUCUUCAUUUAUUGCAUGUGUUCAUUUGGGAUAUUUUAGAGUUUCCUGCACAUUACUUGAGAUAAAAAAAGUGGAUAAUUGGCAUACAAAUUAAGCACAUGAUAAAGAGAUCCUAUGUAGGGCAUGUGAUUUGCGAUAGGGAUCUCUCUACUCGUGCGAUGGGUAAUUAAUAACCUAUGUUUUCUAUAUGACUCCACUCAGUUAAAUGGUUUAGGUUUGAGUGUUCAGUUACCUAUAGAGAACUUACAGGACUUGAUUGGAUGUUUAGAGGUAGUACUGUGGAGAAAUUGGGAAAGUAUAUUGAGUAUUAUCUGGAGUUGCUGAUUUUUUUAGUCUCUUGAUCUUAUUGUACAGUUGUAGCUGGUGAAUUAGUGGUUACUACAUCGUUAAGUAUUGUUGGAGGUUGCUCAGAGUAUUUAGAAACUUGGAUGAUUUGAUUCUAAGUGUCUUAUGCAAAGAUAGAACUUUGAUUUUAUGUGUUUUUGCAAAGAUAGAGCUCUAAUCCUGUAGGAGAUGCUUAGGAUCUCCACUAAGUAGUAGAAUUCAAUCUUGAGAAAAGUAAUAUCUAUAGUGACAUACAAUGCCUCAGUAAAAGGGUGGAAACAUUUAUACCCCUUUAGAGUGUCCUAUACCCAAUGAAGACACAAUGUAGCGCACACAUAUCGAGUUUGUGGGAAUAUACCUGAACGUAGGAAACACAACCAAAGACAUGAGGUUCAAAGUUUGGCCUGGAUGGUACAGUAAGAAGAAUGGACAAUGUCUGAAAUGGAGUUCGACAUUGAAGGGUACUAGAUGAUUUUCUAUUAAUCAGGUAAGCAGCGGAACAUAGAACUUCUCUCUAAAAAUGAUGUGGCAUGUGGGCUACAAAUAAAGAGGCGCAAACAACUUCCAUGAGGUAUUGAUUCUUACAUAAUGCUACACCAUUCUAUUGUGGUACUUAGGCACAUUUAGUUUGAAGAAUAAAACUACUAUAACUUAAAAAAAUUGGAGAUUAUUUUUAACAUACUCUCUUCCAUUGUAAGAUCUAAAUACUAAAAUUUUCUAAUCAAAUUGAGUAGCAACAUAUUGAUAAAAUUGUUUGAAAUUUGGAGCGACUUCACUUUUAUGUUUCACGGGAAGAAUCCAAGUCAUUCGAGAUCAGCCAUUUAUAAAUUUCACAAGCCACUUCAAGUUAUGAAUAGUGAAAACUCUUGACAGUCCCCAAACAUUGGAAUAGACAAACAUAAAUGGCAUAAACUUUUAUUUAAUCAUAAUGGGUGAGAAAUAUGAUGGCCUUUUGCAAAAUGCAAGUUUUACAAUGAAAAUUUGAUUCAGCAAAUUGAGAAAAUUAAUAAGGAAAUAAAAGUUUAAGAUAAACGGGCAUGUCCUAAUCGUGUAUGCUACAGCUAAAUCUUUUUCAUCCAAACAAGCAUGUCCCCUCUUACAUGAUGAGUUUCACUUAAUCUUUUACUGCAAUCUUUUCUUAAGUCCAGAUAAUUCAACUUUCCCUUUCUAGUACCAUAUCCAAUCACAAUCUUGGUGAGGAGAUCCUGGAAAAGACAAUACAAUGGCAAAAACACAUAGUAAAAUUAAGAAAAUCAAUGAUUUGAGGAAUAGAUCACAAUUCAUAGUCAAGCGGUGAGACGACAAAGACAUGAUCUAAGCUUAAUGAUUAUGUAAGAGAUAGGAACCCUUAUACCAAAAUUGGAAAGGUAAUUCUAUUAGCGCUGGUAACAUAAGUUUGGCUAGAUGGUUUUUCAUAGAGUGUAAACCAGUAAAAUUGGAAGUCAUGUGAUUGGUGGUACCAGUGUCAAUAAUCCAUUAUCUAUUACAAGUAUGUGAAGAUGUGCAAGACAAAAUACCUGAGGUUGCCACGGCCUUGGAGCCAAAUAAACCUAUGAGGUUCUAAUAUGUUUUCCUGAGAUGAGUCGACAAAUAUGCAUUAGACUUUGCUUGAAUCCCUCUAUCAUCCUUUGUGAACCCAUCCUUCUCGAUAACCAAUAAUCUCAUAACAACCCUUAACUGUAUGGUUGUUUAGACCACAAUUGGCACACUUCAUUGGGGAUCGAUUUUGAGUGGUAAUUGAUUUCAGAUUGGAUGGUUAAGAUUGCUUUAGCCUUGUUGUAGCUAAGGCUGCUACUUCAGAUUUACAAUUCUCAGGAAAACAAUUAUAAGUAAUUCAAUUUCCUGGAAUUCAUUUUCUAAACAAUUCAAUUUUAUUUUUGCAAUCAAACGGACCCUUAGUAAAAAGAGACUUACCUAUUAAUAAUAAGACGACACCAUAAUAUUUGUCCUACACCAAGGCCAAGAGAACUAUAACUGUUAAUCAUUAGAUGAUGCUUGAUAUAUAAUUAUUUUGAACUCAACAUUUGUUGCAAAAUUAAAUAACAACAACGACAACGACAACGACAAUAAUAAUAAUAAUAAUAAUAAUAAUAAUAAUAAUAAUAAUAAUAAUAAUAAUAAUAAUAAUAAUAAUAAUAAUAAUAAUAAUAAUAAUAAUAAUUAACGAAUUCAAUACAUGUAAAGUAGAAUUCAGUAAUAAGUUAAUGCUUAAAAUUCCUUGAUAUCAAGCUUAAAAUUCGCCAAUGGGGGUGGGGUGGAGUGGUUGAAGAAGACAACCCUUUUUUUAAUUUUUUUCUUAGAUUUUUUAUUUUUUAUUUUUUGAUUUUUUCUUGAUUUUUUGAUUUUUUGUCGAUUUAUUUAAUAUGGUAAUUAUCAAGUUACCAUUUUAUACUUUUCAAUUUAGUCAAAAUAGGUCAACAUUUACUUUUAUCAGUCAAUUAACGGUCAAAUGGACGGUUUCCAUCCAUUUGGAUCCCUGAUGCAUAUUUAUGAAAGGUUUGGAUUGUAGGUGGCACAAACUAAAGGUUUGGGCAAAGUCUGCUGAUAAACGAAAUGUUUGGUACCUCGGCUGCAAUUUUUCCUAUUUUAAAGGAGAAUUUAAAAUCUCAUUUCUCUUUUUCAUUCCCAUUAUUUUCAAAAUAUAUUUUUCUCUAUUUUAUUUUUAAUAACAUAUUUUUCAUUAAAAUAUAUUACACGCAAAUUCAAAAUUAUUUUUAUUUUUUAACCACACAUUUUCCAUCAAAUCACUAUUACAAAAUGCAUUUUUGAUAAAUAAUGGGAAUCAUACAGGUCCUAAGUUACAUUUUAUUACAUUCAAUUUUUGUUUCUUCUAUUUUUAACUUCACAAUUUUCCAUAAAAUAAUAUUAUAGGUAAGUCAAAAAAAUUUCCUUUUUUCCAACCAUCCAUUAAAAAAAAAAAAACACUAUUCUACUCAUUUUCAUUUUCAAAAAAUGGGGGCCAUACGGGAGAAAUCCUCCAUUAUUACUAUAAAAUAUCACGCCACAAUUAUAAUAUAUUUUCAAUAAGUACAUCAUAAUAAAACCACGAUUAUACUCCUAAUUCAAUAAAAUCAAAAAAUGAGAAAAAAUUAUAGUAUUGUGGUGUAUUCAUUGUACGACAAAUUUCAUGUGUUAAAAUACAUAAAUUGUUACAGAUUAUAUUUUUCGAGAAAUACAAGUGGAUAUUAAUCUUCUUGUAAUUGUAAAAUUGAAAAAAUCAUCUGAUUAAUAAUUUGAAUGUUUGAAGAUGAGAGACCUCGUGGUUUGAAUUCUAGGUUUUGAGAAUUUGUUGAGAACUUGACUUGUCACUCGGAUUUCAAGGCUCGGACUUAAAUCUGAAUUUGAUUUGAUUUGAAGAAGACUUUGAUAUUCUAAAACUUGAUUUGAAUUUGCUUGAUUUGAAGAAGAUUUUGAUUUUCUUGAUGAUCACCCGACUUAGGCUUGAACGGAUUUACUCUCUUUCUUUGACUUCAGAAUUUUUUUCAGCACUUUGUGAUUUUUCCUAUGCACUUUCACUUGUCCAAUUUUAUGAACUUUUGGUCCUAUCUAUAGGGGAAACUCAUGACCAAUUUGGUAAGCAUCCAAUUAACUUUAAUUAAAAAGAAUAAUAAUUGAAUAAUUGUGGAUUUUAAAAGAGUAUGAUGGGCCUUUAAAAUUUUUAUGGGCUUUAGUAAACAUUAAUUUAAUAAAUUUAAGGGAAAAUUUCAUAGUUCAGGUGUAUUGUUUACACCUAUUCACAAAUCAGGUACAUAAUUCAAAAAUUCAAAAUUCAGGUAUCUAUAUAAUUAAUUGAAAAUAUUUAUUAAUUUAAUAUAAUAAAUUCACAGUUAUACGAUUAAUGGUCACGGAUUCAUAAUUAUAGGUCACAGAUUUAUUUUCUAGUCACAUAUCAUCAAAUUAAUUGGUCGCAAAUUAUUUUGAGGUCGCAAAUCUAAUAUUUUAUAGGUCACAAAUUAUUUCAAGGUCACAUAUCCAAAAUUUACAGGUCUCAGAUUACUUCAAAGUCAAAUUAAUUGGUCACACUUAAACAGUUGGUUAUAUAUAACUAAAUGAUGGUCACAUAGCAGCACAAAACAUCAACCACACAAACACUAUCACCAUCAGCACACAAAACACCAUCUAAACCCCACCCAAACUGCCAGAUCUAUCACCACAAAAUCGCCAUCACCAACACCAGACCCACAAUAUCGCCACCAACCCAAACUACUUCUGCUUCGUGUGGGUUGUUACAGUGUUCCGACGAUUUCAUUUCACCACUAGAGUGGUGGAUCUGCUUCGCGAUUUCAUUUCACUACCUCAUCUCGUGGUGAUUCGCGAAGGGAAAAGUGCAACGACGUGGUGCUUCUUCAUUACAAUAGCACCAGCGAAGGGUACUCCAGCAAUGACAUGCUCCAGUGGCGACAGCGUCUGACGGAGAGGAGACGUAAGAUGGAGUCAGGGAGAUGAAGAGAAGGAGUCAGUGACGAGAAUGAGAUGGAGAGUAAGAGUGAGAGCGAAAUGAAGAGAGAUGGGAAAUGAUUAGGGUUUUUAAUUGAAUUGGGUAGUUUAAUUAUAUAUAAUACCUGAUUUUUGCAUAAAUAAAUUUCACAUCCUGAAUUUUGAAUUUGAAAGUUUUAGUACCUGGUUUUCUGUAAUUUCCUCUAAAUUUAAUUGGACUAAUUAUUUAGAUCAAUGCAAUCCAAUUUAUUUAAUUUUUUAUGUCUAUAAAUGCCCCUUCAAGAUUUAUUUACUUAUUAUGAAAUAAAUAAAUUAAUAAAUCUUGAUUUUCGAUUUAAAAAAAUCAAUUUAGAAUUUGUUUUGAACUUGAACUUCCCAUUAGUAAACUAAUACAAAUAAAAAUUUGAGAAUAAACUAUGAAUUUAAUUUAGAAUAAAAUUCGUAUCCUUCAAAUUUGAGAGCAAUGAUUUUUUUUUUACGUGAAUUGUAUUUGAUUAUUUAUUUAUUUUAUACAAUCAAUAACUAAUUCAAUUUUUGAACAAGCCUUAUAUCCUUAACGGUAAGUUGGGUUUAAGUGAAGUCCGAUACACGCCUAUUCAUAUGAACGAAUUAUGAGAUUUAGAAAUAAGUAUGUUAAAUUUAAAAAUAAAGGUCAAGAAAUUAGGUUACUUCUCUCUCUCUCUCUCUCUCUCUCUCUCUCUCUCUCUCUCUCUCUUUGUUAUUUGUAGUUUUGGUCAUCGGUAGAAACAAAAACCAAUUGGAUUCCAAUUCGUCACUUUGAUUUUUGCCAUGGAAGAAACCUUUAUAAUUUCAAUCUUUUUUGUUUCUUUUUCUUUUUGUUUCCUUUUCUUUUUCUUUUUCUUUUUUCAAUUUAUUUUCAUUUCUAUUCUUUUCAUUUCUUCUUUUUUUAUAUUUUUUAAUUGAUAUUUUAUUUUACCCAUUUUUCGGUUGAUUAUUAUUAUUAUUAUGGUUGUUUUAAUAAAAUUGAAACUAACAUUCUUCAUUAUUUUUUAUUUAGGGACUCAACUUUUGAAACAAAUCAAGAAUUUUAAAGUUUGAGAAUUCCUUAGUGUAGAGUUUAAUUUUUUUUUUUUUGGGCAACCAUUUUAGGUGUUCAAAAAUUAUGAACAGACUUAAAAUUUCAACCCUUUUCAUACCCAUUAAGGAACAAUGGCUGUCAACUUUCACUAUGCAAAGCAUUUUAUGUUGAGAACUAAUGACCGUCUUCUUUGACCGUUCAAGGCAUUUUGUAUUGAGGACAAAGAACUGGCUCCUUCAACCAUCAAAGGCACUUUAUGUUGGGACUCAAAAUUUUCUCCUUUGACUAGGCACUUUGUGUUAGGGACAAGGACUUAAUCCUUCGAUCAUCCAAUGUACUUCGUGUUGAGGACAAAUGACUACCCUUUCGACCGUCCAAUACACUUUAUGUUGAGGACCAAAGAUCGACUUCUUUGACCGUCCAAUACACUUUUUGUUGAGACCAAGGACCGGCUCCUUCAACUAUCUACGACACUUUAUGUUUAGGAUCAAGGACCAACUUCUUCGACUGUCCAAUGCACUUUAUGUAGAAGCCAUUUAUAUAUUUGGGAGAUUCGUAAUUUUAGACAAUAAAAGAAUUUAGAAGAUUUACUCUCCUUUUUUGUUUGCUAAUUUUAUCUCUCUUUUUUUAGGAAUGACGGGAACAAAUUCUAAUGAUAGAGUACACUUCUGAUAUCCAUGAAAUUGUUGAGCUUAAAAAUCAAGUCAAAAGCUACCUUCUUUUGCCUGGUAUACGAGAUGAACUUUGAUAUGAUCCAAGAGUCGAGCCCGACGAAGGCAAGUGCGAGAGGAGACCCAUUGAUAGUCGAUGGCGGACCAAUGACGCGAUCAAGGGCAAAGCAAGUGAAACAAGCGAUGGGAUUGUUCGUUCAAGAAACUAUUGAUGGAACCAUGUUCGGGACUCAAAAUGGAGCAACUUUUAUGUUCGGGUCGAAGGUCGAAGCAACUUGGAUCAAUUUAAUAUUGAAGGCCGAAGACGGAGGCAAAUGAUAAGCCUAUGCGACCGCAUAGGUUUAUGAGGCUUGCGAUCGCAUGGAGGCGUACUGAAACUCAAGAUGAGAUUUUUGGUUGAACCAUGCGACCGCAUGAAAAUACACUAUGCGGUCGCAUAGGCCAAAAAUUUGGCGAAUUGUCUAAUUUUGGCAAUUUUUCAUAUUUUGUUAGUUUUUUAUUCUUUUCCAUAUUUUGGGGAUUAUGAUAGACUUUUGCAUGAUUUUUACCUAGUUUUAGGGUUAGUAUAGAUAGGAGUUUUCAUUCAAUUGUUAAAAAACCUUUUGACAUUUUGAUAUUGAAUUAAAAGUAAGGCGUAUUGUCUUCUCUUCAUCGUUCUUCAUUGAUCAAUUUCGAACUUAUCAAGUCUUAACUUGUGUCAUUCAAACAACCGGAUUUAAUUCUUGGAUUGCAUGAUCAAAGGGUCUUUCAAGCGUCGUUCUUGUUGGGUUUUUUGGUUCGACUUUCUUUUGGGUUAAUCCUAAACACUUGGAUUAAUUUGACUUUCUUGGAUUCGUCAAUCUCGUUGUGGGUUUCGUAGUCAACGUUACUACGGGGUUCGCAUCAAACUUAAAUUUGGCAUCCAUAAGCUAACGACAAAUCAUUCUAUUGACCUUCUGAAGCCUUUGUCGGAGUUGCAUAUGGCCAUCAUUAGCGAAUGUCACAAGAAAUUAGAAGCUACCAAGUCCAACCACUCUAACAGUCAUAUUUCCUUUCAAUGUCUUUCGACUCAUUAUUCCUAGAGCAUGGAGUGCACCCUAAGGGCCAUAAUUUGUGAGAGGACUGAUAAUAAAGAAACACAAUGUGGAAGUGCAUCUGUUAGUCGUGGAGAGAUUUCCUUUCUUCCAAAGUUUUGGAAGUGGUUUUUAUGGGUCCAAAAGCUCCUACUCAAGAGGAAUCUUCGCGAAUUAGCAUUUGCAUUAUCGUCGUCUAAACUCUAUUUACAAAGUUUUUUGUGAGGUUUGAUAUUCAGAAACCAAUACUUUUGUGACUGCUAGUGGUGAAAUUGGCAGUUCUCUUUGGGACAUUCAUAAGAUAAGUAGACUUUUAGUCAUAGGUCACUAUUAUAAAGUAGUCUCAAGCCUUUCAGAUUUGAUGAAUCACCUCCCCAAGUCUUAUCUGUACCUCUUCAAUAUUUUUGCACUGAUUGCCAAUGCGAUUGAAUCUAAUUGCGCCAAUCAUGAAGAUUAGGUUAAUUUUUGGUUUUAUGAGAAUGAUUGUACCUAGAACCCUCGAUAAAACAAAAAUUAUAUGAAUGCUAUAAAUUCAAAUCCAUUCAAGAGGCGUCAUCAAAGGGUAUCAGAGGAAAUACGGAGGGUUGUAGUGGUAGACAAGCCAAGAAAUAUUUCUCAAAGGGAUUGGCUAAUUGGAGCAAUUUGUUAAUAACUUUGUUUAUGAAAAAAGAAGAGGAAUUAGAAAUAGCAGCUUAUCUCUCCCUGUGGUUUUGUCAUUUCGUUAUUCCAUCCGAGGACUACUGUAUAAGAGUUAGGAAUUUUAAAAUAUUUUCUAAAGAUGAUGGGCAGGUACAUUUAUAGCCUAGAUCCUCACAUAUUAGCAAGUAUUUAUAGAGAACUUACACGAACGUUGAACCAUCAGUUGAACCCGGACAAGAGUUAUUCUCGUCCUAUAAUCCGAAGAUAUGUUGGCACUUUUUUAUGCUUCGAUUGCAACUUAUCUCGUCCGAGGUAUUUAUGUUCAUGUGGGCAAGAGUUAUUAUCGUCUUAUAAUCCAAAUAUAUGCUAGCACUUUGAAUGCUUUCCAGUCUUGGGAGAAAAAUGCUUUUGAUUGUCGGGACCUUAUCCAUGGAAUGAUGGAUAUCAAUGACUUUUGCUAGAAUCUAUUUCUCUCAUUAUCUCAUCCUAAUGUACGAGUGGAUGACUAACCAAAGUUUAUAGAUACCUUAGAAUUUAUGAUGAGUAUUCGAUUUAAAUUUAUUUCUUGUUGCUGAGGAAACAUCCCUUCCAUUUUUUAGGUGUAUAAUCCUCACAGGUUUGCUAAACAACUUAGCUUUAAACAUAAACUUCCUGGUUCACUAAGAAAGUAGGAUAUUGCUCCCAAUGCAGGCAACAUGUAUCGCAUUUAGUUAUCUUUGACUCAAGAUGAUAUGUGGGUCUAUAUUUCAUAUUUCAGAGUAUAUGAAGGAUACACAUCUAAACGUUGAUGCGAAGUACCAAGAUUGGUGGAAUAAUUAGGUGUUGCCAAUCUUUACCAAGGUUCAAGCACAAGUUUUAUCUUCUAGUGAGAGCCGUGACUUUGUUCUUGAUCUGGCUUCGAACGGUAAUAGCCAAGGGGUUAAACCCUCCAAAUACUGUUCCUGGAGAGACUUCUUGAAAGAGAGAACCAAACUUUCAAAAUGAAAGAGGUAUUAAGAAGAUUAAAAUUAUUUAUGUAUUUAUUUUUGAGAUAAUACUUCAUUGUUUUAGGUUUUCCAAACGUCCCUAAAUGACUAAAUUUCUCUAUGAAUCCAAUUUUUUUGCUAGAUCAGACUAGCAAGAAUGAUUAGAGAGUGGAUGCACUUCAAGAAAUAGACGGCCACAUGAUUUUUCAUGGCCUUCCUAGCAAAUACCCAAACACCAUUAAUGAAGGUACUUCGACGCUUAACGUAAAUGACUUUAAUAAUGAAAAUGAAGUAAAUUUUGAGACCGUGAGGGUUAAUAUUUCAGAGAUCAAUCAAUAGUCCCAAUUGUUCCAUCUUCAUUGGCUUUAGUUAACAUUCCCCCUUCGAAGACAAACAACCAUCUGCCUGCUCUAAUUUGUUCUUCCACGUUUGGUCCUCUUUCGGGAUAACUCAAGAGCCCCCUUAUUUGAAGGUUGCUAUACAAGAAGCUAUAACUAAUUAUCUUCAGAAGUGUUUUAGGGACGUUUUGUAGCAUGAGUUUCCAACAUCCAUUCAUGGUGGGAUGAAAAUAAUCUAAUUCUUCAAAACAUGACUACUAGCUCAUUUCGCACAGAUCCGACACUUUUGAUGAACCAUAUGGAUGUGUUUCUUGAGGAAGUUGACCUUUAUUUAUCCAAAAGAAAGCAAUAUUUGGAGUGUCCAACUGUUGAAGAAAAGGCUGAGCAAUUGAAACUUUUAAAUAUUCAGCUGGAAGUAGAGGAUUCCACGUGUUCUUCGUUGGAAGUUAAAAUUAGUCUAAAUUUCGAGCUAGACAGACUUCAUAAUGAAUUUCAAACGCAUCAGAAACAAAAAAGUAUGCUUGGAACUACGAUAUCGUAUUAGAAGAAUCACAGACUAGAGACGUCACUGGCAUAGCAUCCAUCAACUAGAAAAGAAAGACCAACCUUAAAGAUAGUUUCCUACAAGUGAUCAAUGGCAAGUGAUCUUGAUAGAGUUGAGAAUUUCUAAUCUUUUUUAAGACCUUAUUGUAUGAACUUUGACUUGCUAUCAUUAUUUUUUUUUAUAAUGAAAUGUUCCUCUUCGAGUCUUUUGUGUACUUUUUUAUUGCAAAAAAUUGAUAAACAAAUUGAAUAAAUUUAUUGGUUGUAGCUGAACUUGAAUUUGUAAUUUAUUCGAGCUAUCUGCAUUCCCAAAAAGGAUCAAGUCAAAAGUAGUUCAUUACAAUAAUACAACUUUUUUUUAUUUGGGGCUGUUCACAGUUUAUCCUCUUGCAGACCAGGGGUACGACAUUUAUUACAGUGAAAAUUUUACAUGAUAAAGAACUUCAAGCUUAAAAAUGCAUUAGGAUUUUUCUAUUGAUAAGUCUAAUUUGCAGUCCAUCUUUGUCAACAAUCAUGUAUGCUUAUUAGUAAAUACAUGAGUAACAAGAAAAUAGAUCAUCCAUUUAGGUUGGAACUUGACCUAUGUUUUUCUUGUGAUUAUGAUUGGCUUGCAUAUAGAAAAUAUCGAAUCUUCGACUUGAAUUGAUCUUAGUCGUACCUUUUUGUUGAAGGACUUCACCAUCCAAACAUGAUGGCAUUCCAAGAGAAUUUACGCCUCUAAUAUAUUCUCAUACAAAGCUUUUAUCUCCUCCAAUCGAAGUAGGCAUUUUAUUCUGUUGUCAAACCUAUUUUUUAUGGCAAUUCAAAGUGAAAUGAUUUGCCACUCCAAAGGAAACACAACUUCCACUCCAUACACUAAAGUAUAAGGAAUGGCUUGUGUUGGAGUACGAUAAGCAAUUCAAUAAGCUCAUAAGACUUCGGUGAUUCUUUCAUACCAAUCUCUUUUUUAUUUGGAAACAACAUUUUUAGCAUGCUGCAUGAUAUUUUGUUGAAUACCUGUGCCAACCCGUUAGUUAUCCAUUAUAUAUAAAAUGAGUUGUAUUGUUUGAAUCCUAACUUUGCACAUAAAUAUUACAAAAUGAUUUGCCAUUAUCAGUUAUGAUGUGUCGCGGGAUCCCAUAUCGAUAAAUGAUUUGGAUGCGAAUGAAAUUCUCAACAUUUUUUUUUGUUAUACUUUCGUCAAUGGUAUGGCUUCGACCCAUUUAGAAAAGUAGUCGGUCCUAGCGAUGAUGUAUUCAUGCCCAACUGAAAAUUUUGAAGUUAUAAGUCCAAUUACAUCAAGAGCCCAUGCAUUCAAUGACCAAGAUGCUAUUGUUGGAUGUAGUGAUUCUGGAGGUUGGUGGAUGAAAUUUGCAUGGACUUGACAAACUUCACAUUUUCUUAUAUAAUCCCUGAAAUCUUGUUACCAUAGUUGGCCAGCAGUAUCUCAUUCUUUUUAUUCAAAAAUGGAGUUUAGGUCUAGAUUGAUAAGUACCACAAAUUCCAAAGUGGACUUCUUCUACAACAUGUAUUGCUCCUUUAUUACUUAAAUAUCGAAAAAAACUCCAUCAAAUGAUUGUCUCUAAUCUUCUCUUUCCUCAUCCUCGAUUACUACAACAUUAUUGUUUUCUUCCAAAUUACUGGGCAACAACGACGGAAGCAUCCAUCUUUGAGCAAUUGAUAUGGAGUGGUAAAAAUCUUCAUUUUACCUAGUUAAAGCAGUGCCAAAGUAGUUAAGGCAUCAGCUUCCCUAUUCAACUUUAGGCAAUAAUUUCAUUUUUACUGAAUUUAAUCGUUUUAUAAGCGUUGAUGGAUAUUUAUGAUAUAAUUCAAGUCUGAAUUACAGACUUCAUACUUGGCUAAAAGUUGGUUGAUUAUCAAUUUAAAAUCUUUGAAGACUUCCAGCUGAUGGAUAUCCGUAUCUACUAUUGUUUCUAAUCCAAUGAUAAGGGCUUGAUAUUUCGCCAUGUUGUUUGAACAUUUCUCUAUUAAGGUAAAGAGUAAGGUAUGACAAGAUCAUGAGGAGUGACAAAGACUAUUCCUACUUUGGCACCAUAAUUUCAGGCUGUCCGUUGAACUAUAAUCUCCAUGAUGGUAUAUUUUUUAGUAAAUAGAACUUCUUCAUCCGAAAGGUCUUCCUGAAGUUCUCAUUAUACUGGAUUUGGAUGGAUGGUGAGAAAAUCUGCUAGAGCUGGAAUGAAUUUGAUAUCGAACUCGAACAAUAAAAGUACCCAUUUUCCAAUCCUUCUAGAAAGAAUCUGCUUGGAUAUUAUGUACUUUAAUGGAUCAAUUUUUAAAACAAGAUUGAUUGUAUGUGAUAGCAUCUAAUGUCUCAAUUUUUUAGCUGUGGCGAUCAACGCGUGGCAUAUUUUUCAAAUAGGUGAAUACUUCAUUUCAGUACAGAGUAAUAGAGAAUCUUCUCUUUUCCUUCAUCGUUGAUUUGGACAAAAGUGCUAAUUGUGAAUAUUCUUAUACUACAAUAUAAAGAGUCAAUGGUUUCCCUGGGAUUGAAAUUGUGAAUACUUAAAGAUGGGACAAAUAUUGUUUAAUGUUUUGGAAAGCAUUUCAAUAAGCAUCAUUCUACUUAAAUGGUACAUCUUUACUGAUUUGUUAAAUGGAUGACAAUGUCCGGUAAGGUUAGAAAUAAAUCUUCGAAUGUAUGCAAGUUUUUCUUGAAGGCUUUAUAACUCAUGCACAUUUCUUGGCUUUGGCAUGUUGAUUAUGACAUCAAUUUUGGAUUGAUCUAUUUUAAUACCCCCAAUGUCGAACAAUGAAUCUAAGAAAUUUCCCAGAUGUAAUAACAAAUGCACACUUCAGUGGAUUUAUCUUCAGUUGAUGUUGUCGAAGCCUUUUAAUACAUCCCGUAAAUAUUGUAGAUGAUUGUCACGUUUCUUUAUUUUAACAACAAGAUCAUCUACAUGGAAUUUUACGUUUUUAUGUAGCAUGUCAUCGAAAAUCUUUUGUAUUACCCACUGGUAAGUUGUCCCUUUAUUUUUAAUUCAAAAGGUAUAACUUUGUAACAAUAUAUGUCCUUAGGAGCAUGAAACGAUGUAAGUUCUUCAUCUUUUGGAUUCUUCCAUAUUUGGUCGUAUCCGAAAGAUCCUUCUAUGAAAGAUAAGACUUCAUAUCCCAUAGUUGUAUCUACCAUCAACUCUGUUAUUGAAAAGUGGAAAAUCAUCUUUGAACAUCUUGGUUCAAUCUCGAAAGUGAACACAAACUCGUAAUUUGUCCAUUCUUCUUUUGAUAGGAACAAUGUUCGAGAUCCAAGUUGGGUACUUGACUCACAUUUGCUUCAAUAAGUUUGUUGACUUUCACUUCAAUUUGAGUAAUCAGUUCUGGCCAAAAUAUUCUUUGAGGUUUCUUUAUUGGUCAAACUCCAUGUCUUAUUGCAAAGUAAUGAACUACAACCUUCGAAUCUAAUCUCGACAUUUCUUUGUAAGACGAUGCAAAUACAUCUUUGUAUUCCUAAAGCAAAUAGAUGUACUCGAAUUCUUCUUUUUGACUGAGGUAAGCACUUAUAAACACUUUUCUCGGGUCUUCUUCAGUCCACAAGUACAAUUAUUUUGAGUUAUUAUCAAUCUUAUCAAUUUGAGCAAAUGAAGAAGGAUCUUUGCUUAACCUUUGGAAGAUAGAAGCUUUACCCUUUAUGUCAACUAUCGUGAAAGGUUAUCCUUUUAAUCUUUUAAACAUCGAAACUCUAGCAUUCUCAUUUUUAAUUUGAUUGAACUCUAAAAGUUUUGGCUCUUCCAUUUUCUUUUAUGUAACUUCAUAAAUUUGAAUCAUGAUUGGGCUUGAGAAAACCUUCUUGACUUUUAUCUUUCUCGGUAGAUUUGGAUCAUAUCCAGAAAUCGUACUUAGGUCGCGACAUGAGGUAUCCAUUAGAAUCAAAAGAGAUACGCCCAUUCAAAAGGACAACUUCAAGAUUGCCUAAUUUGCGAGGCUCUUCUUUCCCAAAUCUGGCAUUUUUAAAUAACUUUUUGACUUGAGGAUUAUAUCAUCUUUUGAAAGUCUAUUUUAAUUCAUCGGCUCCUUUAGUGCCCAUCAUGUUUGGAUGAGCUAGAUAUGUAGAGCUUUGAUCGUAGCCAUAAAGACUUGUCAAGUUGUGGAUUCAAUAUGUUCAAAGACUUUACCUUCGUACUCAUCCGGAUUGAUCAAUGCUACGAUUAAAGCCAUUUGAUCAUCAAAAGAGAGACUAAGAGACUCUACUAAACUCGUAUUGGAAGGAAUAUUAUUGAGUUAUGAAAUAGUCUUAUUCUGCUUUAAACUCUAUCCUGAUACGUUUUUCAUUUCAUUUUUCUCCUCUAAAUUGAUAAAAUUGGAGGUAAAACAUUCUUUGGCAAACAAAUCCUUGGGAAAAUAAUCACCCAAGGUUGGUAGUCCAGAAACAGCCUGUGAAGCCAAUUCUACUUCUUUAAUUUAGUAGUCAGUAUAUAUUCUAGAUUUGACUUUAGACCUUUUAAUUUGGUUGUUUCUUAGUCUCCUUCUUGGUCUUGACUUCUCAUUAUAAACACUAGAACUUGGGAAUCAUAGAGCCUUUCGAUGACAUUUUUUUACAAGAUUCCAUGUUUCCUGAUUUUCUUCUAGUGUUAAAUCUUUAUUUGGUUGGACUUUUGGACUCAAUGCUCAUAAUUUUGGUUCUGCAAGAGGAAUAAAAUGUGAUAUUUUACCUAUUUUGUCUAUAUUUUUCCUUAUUGCUUCUGAAGGUGGACUACCUCGUCUUCAGACUCUAAAUUGAAAUUCCAAACAUCCGAGUCAUCUAUCAUAAUUACGUAGAAGGUUGGACGAUUGGAUACAUGUGGUCCAUCCAUCCUUGGAUAGAUGUAAUUGAUGGUGAUUUCUCAGUCUAUCUUAAAUUCCACCAGGAUGGCUCUUUUUGGAAGUUGAGGUCCAAACUCCUCAAUCGAUUAUUUACUAUCAUCGAGUAUACGAGAAAAUGUCCGUUCUUUCUUAAUCCAAAUGAAACCAUCGAGCAAGCGAUUGCUAGAUUUUUCCUGUUUUCAAGUUUGAUUUUAUUUCUGUAUCCAAGCGAACGAUAAGAUCUUUUAGGACGAAACAUUUUUUUCAUUGGGUAAAUGAUAAUUCUAUGGAAUUUAUAAUACUUAGGAUGAUUAAUCUCACAAACUUCCUCAGGUCUUUUUGAUGCUGGAAGUUCGAUUAUUUUCUAUUCAAGAAGUUGAUCUUGCAUUCUAGAAAUUUCAGAUUCUGAGAAUGGGUGCUUCUUCUCUUCUAGAUCUUUCAGGGUUACAUGACCUCUGCUUUUGGACUUGUCCUUUAUUAUGUUUGAACUUUGGCUUUGAUUUUGGAUUUGACCUUGACUUUUGGAAGCCUUUCUUUACAGAGAUAGUGGAGAUUGUUAUAGCUUCUUUGGACUUACCUGCCUUGACGUCCUUUUUUAUUUCCAUCUUAGGUCUUUCUUGUCAUCACUUGGUAAGUAACUUCCAUGUCUGACAAUUUGGAGCUCUAUGUCAUUAACACGUGUUGCCAACUCUUCAAAGGAGUGAGCAUAUUUGCUUGGAGAUUAUAAAAUAAUCCCCAAUGCGUGCUUUGUAUACAGAUAUCGAUGGAAGAUGCUUUGCUGAAUUGUUCUUUACAAUUAGGCACAAGAUUUCCCCAGCAUUUGAUAUACUCUACAACAGGCUCUUCCUUGCUCUAUUUUGUUCAACCAAGUUUUGGAAGGCUUGUUAGGAUUUUUCGCUCGAGUUGAUCCCAAUUUUCAAUUGACCCAGCUCGUAAAUUUGUAUGCCGUUCAAAUGCAGCACCUUUAAGGGAGCGUACAAACCGCUUCACCAUCGUGUCAUUGUAAGUACCUGUAUUAUUACACAUCUCAUAAAUGAGCAACAUAUUGCUUUGAAUUGCCCUUCCCAUCUAAACACUGGAAUUUCGGAGCUUAGUAACCGAGUGACAUCUUUAUUUUAUCGAUUCAAUGACUAUAAGGCUUGGCGUAUACUAAUGAAGAUUGUAAUGAGCCACCAUACUAGGUAUGAAUGUUGCCUGCAAUCAUAUUUUGAAUGUGUUGGACGGAUAGAGAGCCAACAGAGAGUUUAGUGGUGUCAUGGAUGAGCUUUAUUACUUACUAAUUUUGAUUGAAUGAGAAAUUAGGGCCAUACUCGAGCCGCUUAUGACAUGAAAAUGGUUGGAUAUUUAAAGUAGAAUUCUAGUAAUUGUUUGUGAGUGAGAAGUCAUGUCUUUUCGGACGUGACUAUUCCAGACAUCCAUGUAUUUUCAUUUCAGAGGCAUGUCUUUUUAGAUAUGUACAUUUUCAUAUAUGUCAUUCCAUAAAGUUGUGUCCUUUCAACACUUUACAUUUAUUAUAGAUAGGUCCCAUAUGCGUGCAAUAUUAUAUGAUCACUUCAUUUUGGAUCUUGUGUUGUCAAAUUUUUGCAUAUAUCAUUAUAGUCCAUAAGUUAUUUUUCCAUCCAUUAGAAGGAUAGUUUACAGAGUUAAAAAUAUCAAUAAAUUCACUAAUUUUCGUAAUUUGAAGUGCUUUUAUUACAAAAUGUGAUGAUUGCGUCUCUACAAAUAAGUAUGGAAAACUUUUACUAACUGCAUGGGUCAUUAUCAUUUUUAGAAAAAAAUUAUUCAAUUCUUACCUUGACCUAAAUAUUUUUUUGUUAUGUUCAAUUUUCCUACAUUUUUAGUAACUCAAGAUUGUGUCCAAUUUUCUAAUUGCGUGUGCAUUCUAGCGUAAGAAUAUAAAUUUAUCCACUUACAAACAAUUUUAAUAUGAUAACUAAGUAAUACUUUUAUAUUUAUUUUGAAAAUUUAACUUACAUGCAUUUGUGUUCAUUCUAUUUUUAUAUAUUUAAUCCAAUCUGAUGCUUUAUUUAUGACUUGGAGGACCUAAUAUCUAUGUAAUUUAUAUUUUGUUCCCGUAAUGUAUGCUUCAAAAUAGUUGUAGGAUCAAAUUGUCACCCUUGAAUAGUUCGAGACAAAAAUUGCCACUUUAGCAUAGUUGGGGGAUGAAAUUGACAUGUUGGAAUAGUUGGAGGAUAAAUUUGUUGUAUUUCAUUAGUUGGAGAACCUCCUUUUGCUUUUGAAUAGUUGUAGUACCAAAAUGUCGCUUGAGAAUAGAUGGAGGAUUUUAAUUUGUCCAUGCAUUAGUUGGUGGACCAACUUUUAAAUUUUGAAUAGUUGUAGAUCCAAAUUGUCUCUUUCAAGUAGUUUGAGAACCAAUUUAUUGCCUUUGUAUAAGCAUUUUGCCAAACUGCCCCUUAGCAUGGUUGGAGGACUGGAAUAUAUUUUGUUUAUGGUAAGAAGAUAAAAUUGACGUCAACCAUUAGUUAGAUAAAAUUGUUGAUUUUUUCUAAGGACCAAAAACAGAAACUUUUAAAAUUGUACUAGUUUGUGAAAGAUCAAACUAAAUGUUUCUAAUCAUCAAAGGAUCAAAUUAGUUAUUUAUAAUAGUUGAAGGAUCAAUUUAGAUAUUUCACAUAGUUUAAAGAUCAAAUUAGAUAGUUUAAGUAAGUUGAGGGUCGAAUUAGAUGUUUCUACAAAUUUGAUGAUCAAAAUCCACGAGUUAGAAUUUUCACAUAGUCGAGAUCAAAUUAGAUAUUACAAAUAAUUUGAGGAUGGAAUUUGAUGUUUAUAUUAGUUGAAAGUGAAAAUUAAUUAUUUCUGACAGCUGAAGGAUCGAAAUAAAUGAUACUGAAGUUGUAGGAUUGAAUUAUAUUGUAAUAAUAAGGAUCAAAAUAGAUGAUAAAGAAAGUUAAAGGAUCAAACUAAACUAUUCAAAUAAUAGUUGCAAUCAUUCAACUUUCAGAAUCAUCCAAUGCAAUCCUUCAACUUUCCUUAUCAUCUAUUUCCACCCUUAAACUAUUUUAAUAAUAUAAUUCCAUCCUUCAACAUUUUGGAUCAUCUAUUUUGAUCCGUAGGCCAUCUCCAAUGCAUCCCUAAAACACUAAAAUGCAUCAUUUUUGGUGCAAAACAACUCCAAUAAUAUAAUUCUAUCCUUCAGCAUUUUGGAUAACCUAUUUUGAUCCAUAGGCCAUCUCCAAUGCAACACUAUACUUGCAAAGUGAAUAGUGUUGCACCAAAUUUGUCCAAAGUCAUUUUUACCCUUUCUUUUCAUUUCCUGAAUAAACUGAUUAAGGAUAUUUGUGUUGUUUGUGCUAUAUAUUUUUUAAUACAAUAAAUUAUUAUUAUUAUUAUUAUUAUUAUUAUUAUUAUUAUCAUCAUCAUCAUCAUCAUCAUCAUCAUCAUCAUCAUCAUCUCAUCAUCAUCAUCAUCAUUUAAAAUUUUAAAUGUAAAAAAUAAUAAUUGAUAAAUCAAUUAAAAGGAGAAAAAAAAUUUAAAAUAUAACAAACACGAUUAAUUCUUAAAGUUAACAUGAAAUAUAAUAGAUAAUUAAAUAAAUAAUGAAUUUUUAUAUUUAUUAAUGAAUUUAAUUUUUCCUUAUUUAACGCAAUUAUUUAUUUAGUAAUUUAUGUAUUUAUAGAAUAAUUAAAUAAAUAACAUUUCAAAUAAAUAAAUUAUUAAUAAUAAAAAAGAGAAGAAAAUGGUUAAAUACUGUUCAUUUGGUGUAAGUUUUGAUGUAAUGGUUGGAAAUGAAUUUUAGUUUGAUGAAAGAUUUGGUACAAAAUUGAACAAAUUUUGGUGCAACGCUGGAGAUGACAUUAGAUUAUAACAUAAAUACAAUUCAAUCUUUCAACCUUCAUAAUCAUUCAAUUAGAUUAGCUUUCCUUAUCAUCUAUUUCGGUUCUUCUACUAUUAUGAAAAUCUAAUCCGAACCCUUAAAUAAUCUAUUUCCAUCCUUUAAACUAUUUUAAUAAUAUAAUUCCAUCCUUCAACAUUCUGGAUCAUCUAUUUCGAUCCUUGGACUUUUACCUAAAGUCCAUUCAAUUCUUCGACUUUCAUAAUCAUUCAAUUGGAUUAGCUUUCUUUAUCAUCUAUUCUAGUUAUUCUACUAAUACAAAAAUCUAAUCCAAACCCAACUUUCAAAAUCGUCUAUUUCAAUCCUUCAACUAAUAUAACAAGAUAUAUUGAUCCUUUAACUUUCAAGAUAAUGUAUUUUGGUCCUUCAACUAUUAAAAAAUAAACUAUUCAGAUUCUUCAACUUUCAGGAUAUUCGACUUUAAUCUUCAACUAUUAUACAAGCUAAUUCGAUCCUUCAACUUUCAUGCUAAUCUAUUCCGGUCCUUCAACGUUCAUGAUAAUCUAUCUCGAUCUGUCAACUAUAAUAUAAAGCUUUUUGAUUAUGAAAAAGCUAUUUCGGUCCUUCAAGUUUCACAAUAAUUUUUCUCAAUCCUUCAACUAUAAUAUAAAGCUUUUUGACUAUUAUAAAGCUAUUUUGGUCCUUCUACUUUUAGGAUCAUCAAUUUGACUCCUUCAACUUUUAUAUAAAGCUAAAUUGAUCUUUCAGGUUUUAGGAUAAUCUAUUUUAAUCCUUCAACUAUUAUAUAAAGGUUCAACUUUCUGGAUCAUCAAUUUCGCUCCUUCAACUUUUAUAUAGAGCUAUUUUUUUAUACUCCACCUACUGUAAAAAAAAAUUAUUAGAUCCUUCAACUUUUAGGAUAAUCAAAUUUGGUCCUUCAACUAUUAUAUAAAGCUAUCUCGAUUCUUCCACUUUCUUGGUCAUCUAAUUUGAACCUUAAACUAUUAGAAAAGCUAUUUAGGUAAUUCAGAUACUAUGAUAAGCUAUUCAGAUCCUUCAACUUUUAGGAUAAUUCAUUUUGAUCCUUCAUCUAUAUUAAAAGCUAUUUCGAUCCUUCAACUUUCAUUAUCAUCUUCAACUAUUAUUUAUAACCUAUUUUGAUCAUUCAACUUUCAUGAUCACCCAUUUUGGUUCUUCAGAUAGUGAACCAAAAAUUGAGUGAACAGGGAGUUAUUUGUAUUCCAUUAUAAAUUAUUGGGGGAUAUGUACAUCCAUUUUAAGUAAGGAAAUUAUCUACUCCAUUCGACUAAUUCUAAGCUCGAAUAUGAGCAACCAACUGUCAUAUUGAAAUUUGUCGUAUAGAAAUCCAUGUUUUAAUUUUCAAUCCACUUUGAGAUAAAGGAUUCUUCGGAACACAAGGAAUAUUUCAUCCUAAAUUAACGAAUAAAAGACUUUUGAGUUCUGAAAUGAAUCAGUGGAAAAAUAAAAAGCUAUUUAGAUCUUCAACUUUCAGGAUCUUCUAUUUCGAAACUUCAACUACUAAAAAAGCUAUUUGGAUCCUUCUAAUUUCUAGACUAUCUAUUUCAGUCCUUCAACUAUUGAAGUACACUAUUUUGAACCUUCAGCUUUCAGGACCAUCUAUUUGGGACCUUUAACUAUUAGAAAAGCUACAUGGGUUGUUCAACUUUCAAGAUCAUAUGCUUUGGUCCUUCAACUAUUAUAGUAACAUGUUGGCGAUCCUUUCGUUGAUUAUAGUGGUUAAUGGUUUCAUUACAACAAAAAUGGCCUUUUGCAAUAUUCAUUGCUUUAAUGUUACUAAAGAGGUCUAUAGCAACAUUCUCAUAAGUGAAUGUUGCCAUUGGUGAAGAUGAUUGAGUUUUGGCAACAGUUUUUAAAUGCAUGUAGUUCAUAUCGCUUUUUAAUGAAUGUUGCAAAAAGUUUAUAUAUUUCUUGUUAUCUGCAACAGUCAUUGCCUCUUGUGAAACCUACACAUUUUGCAAUGCUUGGUUAAAUGUUCAAACAUUGCAAAAACUAUCUAUUUAACGUUGCGACAAUUCACUUUUUCUGCAACGAUCAUUGCCUCUCGCAAAAACCUACACUUUUUACAACGUUUUGUUGAACGUUGCAAAAACUAUCCCUUUUGCAAUGUUUACAUGAACGUUGUUGAAGCAUGCUCAUUCAUAACAUUUGCAACAUUCAAUUUAACCAUUGCUGAAGAGAAAUCCCCUUCCAAUUAACUAGCCCAAAAUCAGUUAACCCAAUUUACUCAUACCAAAAUUAAGAAAAGAAAAACAUUAACCCUACAUCCACUCGCUCUCUUCUUUCAUUCACACCACGUGAUAAGUGCAUUUUUAUGAACUUAUUUGGCCACAAAACAUUACUAAUUAUUGAUCAAAGCAUUUGCAUUGUGGCUUAAUUCUAUGUAAUUAUGUUUUGUAGGACUAUAUUGAUUAAUGUGACGGAAUUCAAGAGAAAAGAAACGAAAAAUGAUAAAAAGGAAGGAAAUUCAAAGUAAGAGGAUUAAAUUGCAACAAUUCAAUAGUUGAUUCGGACCACGCAUUAGAACACAUUUAUAAGGGUUUUCAGAAAGGAGAACAAGGCAUGAAUGUGAAGAUUGACAUUAAGAUGCAAGGAUUCAAUUCAAGAUUUAAAGCGGUAAUGUCUUUCCUUUAUGAUUUCGUUUGUUUUCUUCUUUCCACCAUGUUAGGCUAAAUAUUUCUGGGCUAGAAAAAUGAUGAACUUUGUGAUAUAAAUUUUUAAUUUUUAGUUUUACAUUUUUGACAAUUAAAACAUGUGUUUGGAAUUUGAAUGAUUUAUAUGCACUUAUUUUCUCCACAAUUAUUGUGCACGUAAUUUGUGUGAGUUUGGUGACUUGUUCUUGCAUUCGAGAGUAGUGGAAUAGGUUCGACAUGGAAUAAAUCAUCGUAGAGUCCGAUAGAAGAUAGAGAUAUAUCGCUAUGCCUUACGUGAAUCUUUAAGUGUUCACGAAAUCACAUGCAUUCUUGUAUAUUUGUAUCUGUCAUAGAGAUAUAGUCUGGUGGUAUAUGAGAGUAGAUUCAACACUGCCAGAGAGAGAGUGUUGGAUAAAUUUAGGAACAUUGAUUCUUUAAAAUCCAACUGUAUCAUCAAAUUGUAAAACUAAGUUUAAAGAGAAUUAUUUCAUGGGGAUUCGUAAUCCUAGUACAUUCAUUAUUCAUUAAAUUCAUCAAACUUGAAUUCUAACAUAAAUUUGCAUUUAGUUUAUUUAAUUCAUACACAUUUGCAUACAUAGUCCAUGUUAGGUUUAAUCAAGUUACAAAAAUCACAUUUGACAAUUUUGUUUCGGUUAAGGUCAGGAUAAGUAAAAUUGGACUAAAUCAAUCUUUGCGGGACGAUAUUCGGACUCAAUUUAUCUACUUUAUUACUUAUUAACGAACCGUACAUUUGCGGUGGUUUAAAUCGAAAUAAGUAAUUUCGUGAACACCACGCACGUGCUUCUCGGUCUCUAUCUCUGGCGGUGUCUCCAACUAUCGGUUGCCUCUAUCUCUAAAGCAUAGCUCCCAGCGAGGCCUCGCAGCCAUCCAUGCUAGCUUUGUUGGAGCGAAAUUUUUUUUUGCCUUUUAUUUUUUUAAACAGGCAUGGCUACCUGAAAUUCCAAUUUAUUGGAGAUGGUGCUUUCUAAAAAAUUUGCGAUGCAUUCAAGGGCACAGUAGAGAGAAUCACGACUUAUGUUGAGAGAAAUGAAAAAAAAUGGGUAAAGCAGUUCGGAGAAUUCCCUAAUCGCCUGUGUGUAUUGUGUACCAUUUUUUUCCUUCCAAUCUUUCAUGCUCUACUCUUUUUUCCAGCAUGGGAACUUGUAGGUUUUCCAUCGUUAGCUUGACCAAGGUACUGUCUUUGUUGGAUACCGAAGUAGUUUCUAUUCUUUUAGGGAUUUUUAUUUUCGCCAAUGUGGUAUCUUCCUCUUUAAUAUAUAAUUUUUUUUCCAAUUUUAAUCUAGGAUAAUUUCAUCGUCGGCCUGCUAAUGCUUCUUCAACCUACAAUUUCAACGGUUCAUCGAGGAGGUCGCUACCCACCGUUCGAAGCUUGGUAUGAUCUCUGUUCUUGUUAAGUUAUACCAAUGCAUCUCUAUGCUUUGAGAAAAGUUUUGUAAAUUUGAAGUUUAGGAAGUUAUUGAUUUUAUGAUUUGAGAAAUGUUUCUUCUUUGUUUAAUCAUUUGCUCAGAUGUUUGCUGAGAAUUGAAGUUGGCUAUCAUCUCUGUUAUUGUUAACUGAUAUGAAUGCAUCAUUGUGAUUUGAGAAAAGUUUUGUAGUUUUAUAAUAAUUCCUGUUGUGAACUUGAAGUUUAGGAAAUGAUAAGAUUUUGAUGAUUUGAGGAAAAGUUUCUUUUUUGUCUACUUAUGUGCCCAUCUGUUUGUCGAGAAUUGAAGUUGGGGUAUCAUAUCUAUUCUUGUUGAGAUAAUAAACAUGUGGUUCUGAGAGCUGGGGAUCAUGUGAGAUUGAAAAUUGCUUUUCCUGUAUGGUUCUGAGAGUUGGGAAGGUUGUGAUAUGAUUCAUAGGGUAAAAGUUAAAAGAAAUAAAUGUUGUGAAUCUCAAUGUUAUUAAAAUGUUGUUAGCUGUAGGGAAUUUACUUAAACAUGUGUAGCGAAAAUAAAAACAAUUUCAAUUCCUACCGGAAUUCAUCUUUAUAUUUAGAUAGGAAUUGUGAUAAAAGUUAUACCUUUUCUUAGAUUUGCAAACUCCUUUGCGUUAUCUUUGUUCCAGCAACUUAGAUUUGCCUCCCAUGGCUGUCCAAUUGUCCAGCCUCCAAUGAAUUCUACAUAGAGAGCAAAUUGCAGCUACCAGAGUUUUCUCCUUUUGUGCUAACAAGAAUUAUAAGAAAUCUCUACCGAUUGAAACCCUAGCCAUGUAUUUAUAUAAGCCGAAACGGGCUUGGCCUGGUUCGAUCCAAUAUUUAAUUAAUUCAUUUAAUUAAAUCCCGUCCGUGAAUUAAUUAAUCCAAUUAAUUAAUUCGGGCCUAUAAAUAAUCAACCCAAUUAAUUAAUUUAUUCAAAGAUUGUUAAAUUAAUCAAUUGACAAAAUGUAAUCUUUCUAUUCUCGUUUGUGUGCGACCCAUUAGGUUCCUGACCACGAUAUCUAACGACUUGAAAUAUUAUUUUGAUCUAAUCAAAAUUGAUAAAUUAAAACACCCUUAUAAUUUAUCACCAAUUCACACUCGCCGUCCCGGAUUGACAUCUAGCAAUGUGUCAGGGCAACAUAUGUGACGAGAAAUGUCACUUGGUAUAACAAAACUAAACUUAUUCGUUUGCUAUGAAACUAUAAUCUGUUCAUCAAUAUGAUCUGAUCAAUUACAAGAUAUGGAAGUGUGUCAAUCUCGAUUAUUGAUCAUAUCUUUCAUUCUACUAUUAAGUCAACGUGAGUUAAAAUCUCCUUUUCGAUUUAUGAGUAUACCUUGGCCAAAUAUUUCGUUAUUGACUUAAUUGAACGAAAUGCAGAUCACAAUCUCUUAUUAUCUACGAGUGAUGAAUCCUUUAUUGGUCAUUCACAACCUUCAUAUGGUUCUUGACAUACCCGAACGAUGCCGUAUUAGCGGCCCUUGGUAGAUCAACAUCCAACACCGUCAAAGUAUGACUGUCCUUAUAUAAGGCACUAUGACGACCUCAAGUCAAAGGACCAAUUUCACUACCGAACGUUAGAGAUUAACCACAGACACUCAGAUAGUUAUCCAUGUGGGAUCUCUUAAUGGGUCUCCAAUGUUUCGUUCUAUAACAAAACAUCCACGUGUUCAUUUAAGUGUCACCACACUUUAGCUCGUGAGAUCAGCUACUUACUUCAAAGGUAAGAAAUACCAUACGUGAUGGUCUAUUCAUAAUAACGAUAUCCGCAUUUCGUUAUUACUUACGAUCAUGGAUUAUUCAAGAUCCAAUCAUAUGUAAUUUGUAUCUCACAAUCACAACUCCUUGUGAUUAACAAAUCACAUAAACUUGAAUCUUCGGACUCUAAUAUUUAAUGUUAUUUAUCAGAAUAUUAAUUUAAAUAAAUAAUAGAUCUUACCAAAAAUAAAUGCAUUAAACAUAUUAAAAGUAUUUACAACCUAAAUUGAUUUGAUCUAGGACAUAACACUUGCAAACUCCCACCUGUACUAGAUCCAAUCACUCAUGUAUCUAAUGCCAUAAGCGUCCACAUGACGAUCAUGUUUCUAUUGUGACAACGGCUUUGUCAAUGGAUCUGCAAUAUUGUCAUCUGUGGGAACUCGCUCUAUCUUACAUCAUUUCUUUGUAUAAUCUCUCUGAUGAGAUGAUAUCGCCUUAGCACAUGUUUGGAUCGUUGAUGAGACCUCGGUUCCUUCGCUUGUGUGAUAGCUCCAUUGUUAUCACAAUACAAAGGUAUAAGAUCAACAAUGCUAGGAACGACUCCCAGUUCAUUAAUGAACUUCUUGAUCCAGACAUCUUCUUUCACCGCUUCAAAAGCAGCAAUGUACUCGGCUUAUGUUGUUGAAUCAGCGGUUGUCUCCUGUUUGGAACUUUUCCAACUAACCUCUCCAUUGUUGAGAGUAAACAUAUAUCCUGAUUUAGACUUGCUAUCAUCCUUGUCUGAUUGAAAGCUGGCAUUAGUAUACCCAUGAACGUUUAGUUCAUUUUCUUCAUAGAUCAAGAACACAUCUUUAGUCCUUCUCAAGUACUUAAUAAUGUUCUUAACCGCUAUUCAGUGUUUCUCACUAGGGUUUGCUCGAAACCUACUCGUAAUACGUAGAGCAUAUGAAACAUCUGGUCGUGUACAUAGCAUCGCAUACAUGAUAGAUCUUAUUGCCAAAGCAUAAGGAAUCUUAUCCAUACGAUUUCUUUUAUUAUGUGUUUUAGGACACAUAUUUUGAGAGGUAAAUCCCAUGUGACAUAGGACACAAACCUCUCUUGGACUCUUCCAUGUUAAAUCUUUUCAAGAUUUUAUCUAUGUAUGAAGAUUGAGAUAAGCCAAUCAAUCUUUUAGAUCUAUCUCUAUAGAUCUUGAUUCCUAAGAUAUACGUUGCUUCUCCCAUAUCUUUCAUGGAGAAAUUCUUUGACAACCAUAAUUUUUACCGAUUGAAGCAUUGAGAUGACGUUUCCCAUUAAUAAAAUGUCAUCGGCAUAUAAUAUGAAGAAUACGACCGCGCUCCCACUUGUCUUCUUGUAAACACAUAGUUCAUCUUCAUUUUUGAUAAAAUCAAAUUUUUUUAUUGUCUCAUCAAGAUGAAGAUUCCAGCUUCUAGAGGCCUGCUUUAAUCCAUAAAUAGAUCGAUUAAGCUUACAUACCUUUUUAGCUUUUUUUGGAUUCAAAACCUUAUGGCUGUGUCAUGUACACCUUCUCUUGCAAGUUUCAAUUUAGGAAAGCGAUUUUGACAUCUAUUUGUCAUAUCUCAUCAUCAUGGUAUGCAGCUAUUGUAAGCAAAAUUUGAAUGAACUUUAGCAUGUCUACAGGCGAAAAGGUUUCAUCAAAGUCAACACCUUGUCUUUAUGUGUAACCUUUUGCUACUAGCUGGCUUUAUAUGUAUGGACGUUUCCAUCCACAUCAACCUUUUUCUUGUAAACUCAUUUACAACCUAUGGGUUUUAUCUUACCAGGAAGGUCGACCAAGGUCCAAACCUUGUUCUCAUACAUCGAAUUCAUUUCGGAUUCCAUGGCCUCUUGCCAUCUUUUUGAGUCAACACUUGACUUUGGUUUUGUGUAAUUUGUAGGUUCAUCAUCCUCGAUUAAUAAUACUGAUUAGUAAUUGUGAAUUCGUACCUUCUGAGAGGUCAAAUUAUCCUACUUGAUUUACGCUGAGCUGGAGUGUCCUUAGGAGUCUCUACAUCCUGAUCAGGAGUCUGUCCAUCAGCAAGUGUGGGAUCAGACUUAUGUUCAUGUAAUUGGUCAACAAUAUCUGUGUAUUCUUGAACUUCUUCAAGUUUUAUCUUGCUUUCACUACCUUCUCCUAGAAUAAACUCUUUCUCUAGGACUAUGACAUGUUUUGAGAUGAACACCUUCUUCUCAACGAGGUUAUAGAACUGAUAUUCAAUUGUCUCUUUUGGAUAUCUCACAAAUAUGCAUUUAUCAGAUUUAGCCUCAAGCUUAUCUGUUUCAUUUCUCUUUACAUAAGCACCAUAGUCCCAAACUUUCAUGUGAGAUAAUUUGGGUCUUUUUCCUCUCUAUAGCUCGUAUGGAGUUUUGGCGAUCGAUUUAGAUGGGACACGAUUAAGUGUGUAGCAAGCAGCAAUUAGUGCAUGACCCCAAAAUGAUUUUGGAAUGUUUGUAUGGCUCAUCAUUGAUCGCACAAUGUCUAACAAUGUGCGAUUUCUCCGUUCGGAUACACCAUUAUGUUGCGGUGUAUAUGGCGGAGUCUAUUGCGAGAGAAUCCCAUUCUCUUUUAGAUAAUCUAAAAACUCACCCUUUAAAUAUUCUCCACCUCGAUCAGAUCUUAGCGUGAGAAUAUGUUUACCGGUUUGUUUCUCUACUUCAAGUUUGAAUUCCUUAAACUUUUCAAGUGCUUUAUGUUUGAAUUUUAUCCGAUAUACAUAACCAUGUCUAGAAUGAUCAUUAGUAAAUGUGAUGAAGUAAGAGAAACCACCUCUGAUGGUAAUUGACAUGGGUCCACAUACAUCAGUAUGUAUUAGUCCCAGCAGUUCUGCAGCUCUUUCUCCUUUUCCAGUAAAAGGGAAUUUGGUCAUUUUGCCUAACAGGCACGACUUGUAUUUGUCAAAAUGAUUCAAAAUCAGUUGACCCCAAGUAUCCAUCUUUAUGUAACUUAGAAAUGCGUUUGUUGUUAAUAUGACCCAGUCUACAAUGCCAGAGAUAGGUAUUAUUUAGAUUAUCACUUUUAUGCCUUUUAUUUUCUAUACUCAUAAUAGAUGUCUCAAUAUUAAGAAUAUAAAUUCCAUUUUGUAACACACCACAACCACAAAAGAUCUCAUCUUUAUAAACGAACAACGAUUGUUCUUAACAUUAAUUGAAAAAUCAUUCAUGUCCAAACACAAAAUAGAAAUAAUGUUUUUAGUAAUGGUGGGAACAAAAUAACAAUUUUCUAAUUCUAAUACUAAGCUCGAAGGCAGUGGUAAGAAGUAUGUUCCUACAGCUAAUGUAGAAACUCUUGCUCCAUUCUCCACGCGCAUGUUAACUUCUCUUUUCUGCAGUGGUCUGCUUCUCUUUAGUUACUGCAUAUUUAUACAAAUAUGAGAUCCACAUCUAAUAUGUAAUACCAAGAAGCUAAUGAAGUAGACAUAUUAACCUCAAUAACAAAAACACCUGAAGUAGAAGCUUCGGAAGACUUCUUUCCCUUCAAGCUAGCGAGGUAAGCCUUGCAGUUUCUCUUCCAAUAACCUUUCACUCUACAGUAAUAGCACGGGUCAUCAGAUUUGGUAAUGUCCUUGCCUGCUUUGUUAUUGCCCUUAGCCUUUUUGGAUGUUUUCUUAAAACUUUCUUUGAUUUUCCUCUUAGUGUCCUUGGAGGAUUGAAUGGCUAAGACAUGCCCCAUGCUAGCUUUGAUAUUAGGCUCCAUAGUUUUAAGCAUAUUAAGUAACUCAGGGAGUGUGCAUUCGAUCUUAUUCAUAUUGAAGUUCAUAAUGAACAGCGAAUAACUAUCUGACAGAGAUUGUAGAACCAAGUUAAUACUUAGUUCGUGAUCCAUGAUAAAAUCCAAUUGAGCCAAUUUCUCAAUGAAACCAAUCAUCUUCAGCACAUGAGCACUACUGAAGAUCCCUCUGCCAUUUUGUACCGGUACAGUUGUUUGGAGAUGUCAUACCUCUCUACACCAGAUUGUUCAUCAUAUAACUCCUCGAGAUGAAAAAUCAUAGUGUAAGCAUCCAUACCGUCAUGUUACUUCUGCAACUCAGGUGAUAUAGCUGCAAGCAUCACACAUGCUGUAAUGUUAUCGUCAUCACUAUAUUUGUUGUAAGCAGCCACCUCUUCCUCAGUGGAAUUUUCAGUAGGUACCUCUGGAAGGGGCUGCUUAAGGACAUACCCAGUUUUCUCAUGCUUGAGAAUGAUUAUCAAAUUAUGGUGCCAAUCGAGAAAAUUUGGUCCGGUCAAUUUGUAGGCAUCCAAUAUAUCUCUCAAAUUCAUAUGAUUACUCAUGAUUCAAAAACUGUAAAUGAUGAAAAAUAUAGAAUCAAUAUGUAUUAUAAUGCAUUUGUACAAAUUCAUUAUGGACUUUAAUUAAGCGUGUUUCCACUGUUUAAAAUAAAUUCAUGAUCCUCAAACAUAAAUUAUUGGAAUCCAUAUUUGAUUCCCAAUGGGCUGGAAUCUCAUUCGUUAUAUCAAGAUCUUGAGUGUACUCAAUAAAUCUUAAUAAAACAUCUGGGUAGAUACCAUUAUCAAUUGUAUCUCCAUACAACUCCUAGAUCAUUAAGCUCACAACUCUUUAUCUUCACACAUUUUAUGUGUUAGCUUAACACGCCUCCAAAACUUAUCUUCUUGAGUAUACUUAACAAAAAAUAAAUUUUAGUUAAGUUAAACCCAUCAUUCAGAAAUAUCAAAUAUUUUAUAGUAUCAAACAUAUCUCUAAUAGACCAGUCUUGAGUGUACUCAACAAGUUGAGAUCGAUUUAGGAUUCUCGUUUUUCACUAUAAUGACUGAAGGCAAACAAUACUGUAUUAAUAUUUUAAUGAGAGAUUUAACAUGCAAUGGUCUCAUCAAGUAAUUAUAUAUAUCUAAUCAUGCAUCGACUAUGCGAAUAAACAUACAAAUAAUAGUUUGGAUGAUUAUGGACUUAUUUUAUCUAGUUUUCCCGAGUCAAAGGGAAGACUAGUUGGUCAAUUUCUAGAGGGUAUAGCAUUGAAUCAAUAUCAAUGCAUCAUCUCCAUGGUUUCCUCCUUUUCUUGCUCCUUUAAAUAGUCCAACAGCAACAUGUAUCCUAUACUAGUUGGCACACAGACCUAAAUGAAAUUAGAUGAUAAUAAUAAUGACAAUGGACUUGCAGGUCCAAAAUUAAUAAAGAGCUCGUAGGCCCAUAACAAUAAUAAUAAUAAUAAUAAUAAUAAUAAUAAUAAUAAUAAUAAUAAUAAUAAUAAUAAUAAUAAUAAUAAUGGACUCGUAGGUCCAAAACAAUUAAGGGCUCGCAGGCCCAUAAACUGGCAAGAAUUAAAUCAACCAUUCAACAUGUCCAGAUGGUCGAGUCCAUAAUCAUCCAUAAAUAAACAUUCAUCACAUAAACGUUUCCUAUAUAUUAUCUAAUAUUAUAUGCAAUGUCUCAAGAAUCUAGCAAUUAUAGUCGUCAAAACUUAUUUAAAUAAAUGGGUCAAGAUAAUUCAAUAAUUAAUCAAUCAUAUUAAUUAAUUAACUUAAUUGGGGGGCCUAUUUAAUUAAAAUCAAAUAUCAAUUAAAUCCCGAAUUAGAGUCCUACUCUAAUUCCAUAACUAUUGGGCGAAGUUAUAUAAUUAAAAUCAGAUUUUAAUCAAAUUUUAAUUAAAUUUCGGAUUAUAGUCCAACUCUAAUUCUAUAAAAAAUUUAGGGUCAAUUAAAAUCAAAUUUUAAUUAAUUAUUAAAUUAGAGUCAUACUCUCAUAUGUAUUGGGGAAGUAGUAUUAACCAAAAUCAAAAUUUAAUAUUAGAGUCCAACUCUAAUAAAAUUGAAUUAAUAUUUUAAUUUAGGACAAAAACCCCUAAAUAAAACAAAAAAAAUUCAAUUUAGGGUCAAAAUUAAAUAUUUAAGUUAAAAUCUAAUUUUAACUAAAAUAUAGAAAUCGUCAAAUUUUAAAUAAAUCAUUAAUUUGGGGCCCAAAUGAAACGGGGGUCAAACCUAAUAAAAUCAUAAUUUCAAAAUCUAUUUUGAAUUCAAAUUCAAAACCCAUUUCAAAAAUUGCAAUUUGACCCAAGUCAAAAUUAAAACAUAACUCCCUCAAUUUCGUAAAUUGCAUGACAGGCCCUCUAUUAAAAAAUUGCAAGACAACUCCCAAAACAAUUUGCAUACGCCCUGCAAUUUCAUAAAUUGCAUAAAAGGUCCCUGCCUCCAACUCCCCCAAACCCUAAAUUUUUUUUUUUAAUUUUUUAAUGGUUUGAUCGGUCCCGCCCACCCAUAUUGCUGCAGCGCACUGCCACUGCAAUCUACUUUUGAUUUCAUAAAAAUGUAAAUCAAUUCUAUAAUAAUAAAAUAUCUUUUUUUUUCUAAAAUCAAAUUUUGAAGAUAAAAUUAAUACCAUAAUUGCUAGAUUCAAGAAUUUGAUGAAAAAUCAACUUUUGAUUUCAUAAACAUGUAAAUCAAUUCCUAACAAAUAUAAAGUUAGUUUUGAUACUACUAUAAGAAAUUUACUUAAACAUGCGCAGCGAAAAUAAAAAUAAUUUGAAUUCCCACUAGGAUUUAUUUUUAUAUUUAGAUAGGAACUAUGAUAAAAGUUAUACAUUUUCUUAGAUUUGCAAAUUCCUUUGCUUCAUCUUUGUUCCAACAACUUAGAUCUGUCUUCCACAUUUGUCCAAUUGUCCAACGUCCAAUGAAUUCUACACAGAGAGUAGAUUGCAGCUACUAGGAUUUUCUCCUCUUGUGCUAGCAAGAAUUAUGAGAAAUCUCUAUCGAUUGAAAACUCUAGUCAUGUAUUUAUAUAAGCCCAAACGAGCUUGAUCUGGUCUGGUCCAAUACUUAAUUAAUUCAUUUAAUUAAAUCCCGUCCAUGAAUUAAUUAAUCCAAUUAAUUAAUUUGGGCCUAUAAAUAACCAACCCAAUUAAUUAAUUUAUCCAACGAUUAUUAAGUUAAUCAAUUGAAAAAUUGCAAUCUUUUUAUUCUCUUUUGUGUGCGAUCCAUUAGGUUCCCGACCACGAUAUCUAACGACUUGAAAUAUUAUUUUGAUCAAUUCAAAAUUGAUAAAUAAAAACACCCUUUUAAUUUAUUACAAAUUCACACUCACCGUCCCAGAUUGACAUCUUGCAAUGUAUCAGGGCAACACAUGUGACAAAAAAGUCAUGUGGUAUGACAAAAUCAAACUUAUUCAUUUACCAUAAAACAAUAAUCCAUUCUUCAAUAUGAUCCGAUCAAUUACGAGAUAUGAAAGUGUGUCAAUCGAUCAUAUCUUUCAUUCUACUAUUAAGUCAACGUGAGUCGAAAACUUCUUUUCGACUUAUGAGUAUACCUUGGCCAAAGAUUUUGUUAUUGACAUAAUUGAACGAAAUAUAGAUCACGAUCUCUUACUAUCUAAGAGUGACAAAUCCUCUAUUAGUAAUUCACAACCUUCAUAUGGUUCUUGACAUACCCGAACGAUGCCAUAUUAGCGGCCCUUGGUAGAGCAACAUCCAACAUUGUCAAAGCAUGACUAUCCUCAUACAAAGUACUAUGACGACCUCAAGUCAAAGGACCAAUUCCACUACGGAACGUUAGAGAUUAACCACUGACACUCAGAUAGUUAUCCAUGUCGGAUCUCUUUGCGAGUUUCCAAUGUUUCGUUCUAUAACAAAACAUCCACACUUUCAUUUAAGUGUCACCACAUUUUAGCUCGUGAGAUUAGCUUCUUAUUUCACAGGUAAGAAAUGUCACACGUGAUGGUCUAUCCAUAAUAACGAUAUCUGUAUUUCGUUAUUACUUACGACCAUGGAUUAUUCAAGAUCCAAUCGAUGUAAUUUGUAUCUCACAAUCACAACUCCUUGUGAUUAACAAAUUACUUAAACGUGAAUCUUCGGACUCUAUUAUUUAAUGCUAUUUAUCAUAAUAUUAAUUUAAAUAAAUAAUAGAUCUAGCCAAAAAUAAAUGUAUUAAACAUAUUAAAAGUGUUUACAAUCUAAAUCGAUUGGAUCUAGGGUAUAACACUUACAUUAGCUUCCUUAGUAGAUGUGCUACUGACAAUUGAGUGUUUAACCAUGCUUUUAAAGGGAUCUUCCUGCUUUGUUUUUGUACUAGUUACCACAAGAAAUUCUAAGGAUGCAAUAAUUUUCUUAGGAAUAUGGUUAAUUUGGGAUUGAAAUAACUUUCAUAGUAUCUACUGAUUAUUGCAGUUUUUCACCGAAAAUACUUGUUUUUACAAAUGCUCAAGGUCCUUCAGAAGAGUCAUUUUUUGUUGGGGAAGAUAUUUUGCCAAACCAUGACAUCGAUAAUUUUCAGGAAGAUAUUCCUUAUGGGAUCUUGGACAGGUCAUUAAAGUGAGUUCAAUAUGUUUUCUUCAAUUUCUUUUCUUUAGUCACUUGAAUUGAAGAAACAAAUUUAUUUCACACUUCGAUGCUUUUAGCUUAAAUAUGGGCAAAAAAUUUUGAUUGUCUGUGAAUUUGUUAAUAACAUGGUAGAAAGUUUCUCAUGCCAAAAGUAUUACGACUAAUACAAAGAGGCAAAGAGAGAACAAAUGAAACGGUAGAGGACAAUAGAGGUAUUAGCAGUCGUGGUCAAAUUCAGAUCUCAAAGGACCAGAAAGCUCGUAGGUACCCAUUGAGAACAAACAUUUGAGAAAUUGUGUUCCCUUUUCUAAGUGGUGUUGUAUCACAUUUAAUAUUUUAUGUAUGAUUCAAAAAUUUGUAAUGAAAUUAUUAUCAUUUUUGUUGGUUAAUUUGUGUAAAUUAUAUAUAUAUAUAUAAUAUGCAACGGUUAAAAAGAAAAAGAAAAGAAAAAAAAAAGAGAAAGACCUACGGCAACAAUAAAAAAAAUGUAACAAAAACUAAGGAUAUAAGUAUAAGCAACCGACAAAAAAAUUUGUAAAAUGUUUUUAGCCACAUUUAGUGAACGUUAAAAUUUUUUGCAACGUUCAAAAAAUACUACAAAAAGUUAUUUGCAACAUUCAUAGAACGUUGCAAAAAAGUUAUUAGCAACGUUCAGAAAAUGCUGCAAAAAGAUUAUUAGCAAAGUUCAAAGAACACUGAAAAAAAGUUAUUUGCAACGUUCAAAAAAUGUUGUCGUAUCCAAAGAUUCUACGGAAACAUCGCAUCCCACAACAUACACCUAAACGCUGCUAAAUGUGAUUGGCAGCGUUCUUUGACUGCUGCAAAAGGCUCUUUUUGGUGUAGUGUUUGAUUAGUUGUGAAUAUUUAACAACAUAUUUGUAAAACUAUUUUUAUAUAAAUACAUAUUUAUUUAACUAAGCAUUAAUUAUUCUGCACGUCUUAUAAAUUAAUAAAAAAUGUAUCAGAUUGCUACCUUGUUUGCUGUCUUAAUUCUAGGUUACUGCCAAACAAAAUAGGCAGCAACACGCUGCCUUUUAAUUUUUUUUUUGUAUUUUUUUUAAAUAUAGGCUCGUGAGCCCGAGCCGACGAGCCACAUGGGACAGCUUGGGCUUUGCUCAUCCCAAAAUGGGGCUUUGCUCGAGCCUCGAGUCGAGCGGGCUCGAGCUUUUUCGAGUCGAGCCACGGGCGGCCCUAGUCAACAAGUCUAAUUGCCAUCCCCAUGUAUAUUACAAGCUCAUGAAUGCUUAACUCAAUAUUGGCGCUCUUCAUUUAUCUCCGAAAGAUGAAAGUCUUUUGGUUGAAUGCAAUUCUUUUCAUUCAAAUACAAUGAUUCCCAUGAGAAUUUUUUGGAAUCUUCAAUCACAAGGACUUGAAUGGAAUUUUGAAAAUGUUCAAAAUUCUACUCCUACUCCUGUUCAAACAAUUCCUAAUCAAAUUCUUACCUUUCCUGAUGGAAAAGUUAAGAUGACGGUCAAAGGAUCUUCUUCUAGGCUUCAAAGAUCUUGCUCUUCUAGAUCUGAAGACAGACCUAAAACUUCUUUUCAAUUUGCUAGAAAUUCAACAUCUUCUCUUUUUGGUGUUGAUUUCAAUCCAAUUAUUCCAAAAACUCAAUAUUAAGAAAAAGAUGAAGAUUCUGAAAAACCAGAAUCUCAAACUUCUCCAACUUUAUCUGAUAUGGUACCUCCUUCAGAAACUUUUGAACAUCAAAUGUAAUGUUAUUUCUUCAAGAAUUGACAGAAAAAUGAGUUCAAAACUGAUCAAACCUUGUCAAAAAUUUUCGAAAAUUAUUUCAUAAAAGUUUCUCAAAAGAAGAAAGAAAAUCUUUUUGGAAAGAAUUCUAUGAAUUCCCGGAAGAUUUGAGUUUUUAUGAAUAGGCUUAUUUCAAUUUUUUUUUUUGUUAAAAACUCAUUAAUCAAAAAUUUAAAAAUCUAUUAUAUCAAAAAUUCAUACAACAUAUACUGCAAAAAAGACUUGGAGAACUCUAAGUGGAGAUACUAUUCAAUCUUCUCAUCCUCCUUUGCGGGGAAAUCUUUAUUUUAUAUGGUAAUACUAAAAUUCUUGCUUUCCCUCUCAAAAGAAUAUCUAAUGAACGACUUGAUGACGCUUAGGUUGUUCAAAAACAUUUUAUCUCAAAAUAAUUAUACAAGCAUUACUCUUCAAUCUAUGGGUUCUCAACUCAAUAGAAUUGAAACAAAUUCCAAAGUCGAAGUCACUUCUAAUAAUUCUAAGAAAGAAUUAAAAGAUAGUGAUGACAAAAAAUCUUCAAAAUCUAAAGUUACAAUAUUUCAAAUUGAUGAAGAUAUUAAAUUUGAAAUUCUCAAUCUUAUUGAUUCAAGUAGUUCUGAUAAUGAGUCUAACUCAAUUAGAACAAGUUUUUCAAAUACAAGAAUAAAUUAUUCAAGAAAUUAUCGAUCAAAUUGAUAAUUCAAAUUUAAAGAAGAAAUUUAGUUCUCUUCUUCCUUAAAGUUCAAAUCUUCCGGUUGAAGAAAUUAAUAUGCAAAACAUAUUAAAUAGAUUCAAAACUGGAUCCUUUUCAAAAAUUUCAAUUUCAAAUUUAAAGUUUGAAAUCAAGAAUAUGAAAUCUCAAAUUUUUGGUUUAGAAAAUCAAAUGAAAGAAAUCAAAAUGGAAGUCAUCAUUCUUAAAGUCAAAGAUUUGAAUGAUGAAUAUUAUUCAAAAUUAAAUUUUAAAUCUAAAUUUUCCAGCUACUCAUCAUCCUCUUUUGAGUCUUCAUUCAAAAAUUCUCAAUUUCAAUCUGAAGAAGAAAAGAUUAAUGUUAUUAAUUGAAGUCAACUUCAAAAAUGGUAUCGCAAUGUGACUAUUGUAGUAAAUAAAGAGUUCAAAUUCACUUUCAGAGUUCUUAUUGAUUCUGGAGCUGAUCAAAAUUGUAUUAGGAAAGGUCUUAUCCCUACAAAGUACUUUGAAAAACUACUGAACGUCUUUACGGUGCAAGUGGUAAGAAACUCAAUAUUAAUGACAAACUUUCAAAAGCUCAUGUUUGCAAUUCAAAUAUUUGCUUCAAAAAUAUUUUUUUAUCUUACGAAAGAUUUAGAUCAAGAAGUUAUUCUUGGUACCUUUCAUAGUUCAACUUUAUUCUUUUCAAAUUGAUUUAAAAUGUUUAACUACAAAUAUUUUCAAUAAGAAAAUAUAUUUCAAAUUUAUAGACACUCUUUCUUAUAAAGAUAUAAAUUCUUUGAAAGAAGUAGCUAUUUCAAAAAUUAUCAAUAAUAUCAAUUUAAAGAAAAAUCAUAUUCAAUUUCUUAAAGAAGAAAUUAAAUUCAAAAGAACUGAAGACCAAUUAUUCAAUUAUUGAGAAAAUUUCAAAAGCAAAUUGAAAAUGAAAUUUGUUCAAUCAUUCCAAAUGCUUUUUGGGACAGAAAGAAACAUGUUGUUUCUCUUCCCUACAAUUCUGAUUUUCAUGAAUCAAAUAUUCCAAUAAAAUCUGGUCAUAUUCAAAUGAACAAAGAAUUAUUAGACUUUUAUAUCAAGGAAAUCAAUGAUUUACUUGAAAAAUGUUUAAUUCGACCAAGCAAAUCUCCUUGGAGUUGCUCCGCUUUCUAUGUCAAUAAUUCGGCUGAAAUUGAACGAGGUGUUCCGCGUCUUGUGAUCAAUUAUAAGUCUCUCAAUAUGACUCUUCAAUGGAUUCGAUAUCCACUUCCUUAAAAGAAAGACCUUUUGAAUAGAUUAUUUAAGACAGUCAUCUUGUCAAAAUUUGAUAUGAAGUCAGGAUUCUGGCAUAUUCAAAUUAAAGAAGAAGAUAAAUACAAAACUGCCUUCAGUGUUCCUUUUGGUCAAUAUGAAUGGAAUGUUAUGCUAUUUGGUCCAAAAAAUACUUCUUCUGAAUUUCAAAAAAUUAUGAAUGAUAUUUUCAAUCCCUUUGCAAAUUUCAUUAUUGUUUACAUUGAUGAUAUUCUUAUAUUUUUAGAUAGUAUAGAACAACAUUUUAAACAUAUCAAUGCAUUCAUACAUAUCAUCAGAAAAAUGGUUUAGUAGUCUAUGCUAAAAGAUUGUUUUAUGUCAAAUAAAAAUUAGAUUUUUAGGUCAUAAUAUUCAAUUUGAUUCAAUUAUUCUAAUUCAGAGAAGUCUAUAUUUUACUGAGAAAUUUUCCAAUGAAAUCUUAGACAAAUCUUCUCUCCAAAGAUUCAUUAGUUGUGUCAAUUAUGUUGGUGACUUUAUCAAAGAGAUAAGGUUGAUCUAUGACCCCCUUUUCAAAAGACUACAAAAGAAUCCAAAUCCAUGGAGUCACGAGUGCACAAUAGCCGUUUAAAAAGUCAAAAAGACUAAAAAAUAGUCCAUGUUUAUCAAUUUUUGACCCUAAUACUUCAAUUAUUGUCGGAACUGAUGCCUCUGAUUUAGGCUUUGGUGGAGUGUUAAAGCAGAUUCCAAAUGAGUCAAGUCAAGAACAGUUGGUUAGGUUCUAUAGUGGUGUAUGAACUGGCUCUCAAAAGAACUAUUCAACCAUCACAAAAGAAAUUUUAUCAAUAGUUUUAUAUAUUUCAAAAUUUCAAGAUGAUUUAAUCAAUAAAGAAUUUAUUCUCAAAAUAGAUUGUAAAGCAUCAAAAGAAGUUUUGCAUAAAAACAUCAAAAAUCUUGUUUCAAAACAAAUUUUUGCUAACUGGCAAGUUAUUUUAUCUUGUUUUGAUUUCAAAAUACUAUAUAUACAAGAAAAAUCAAACUAUCUUGUAGACUUCCUCAGAAGAAAAUUUAAACAAUCUUGAAAGUAAAAAGUGAGAUGGACUUUUCAAAAGUUGAGAGAAAAAAUAAAAAGGUAAAUAUUCAUCUUCUUUCAAUUGAAGAUUACAUUUCAAAUUCCCAUGCAUCUUCUUCCUCUCAAAAUACCACAUUUGCUUCAAAAUUAAUUCCUCCUCAAAGCAAUAUCAAUGAAUGAAAAGUAACCAAUUUCAAAAAAGUUGUUCAAACUAGAGCUGCAAAAAUUCCAAAAAUCAACCCCUUAAACAUUUUCAAAUACUUCACAAAAAAUGUUCAAUAUAUAGUUCUGGAAAUGGAAAGUUUUUGGAACAAAAAAUAUUAUUCUCUCGAAAAAUGUCAUUUGGAUAUUUUUUCCCCAAACUUCAAUUACCUUCCAAAUAACAUAAAAAAGAAUUGUGAGUUUUAUGAAGCUAUUUUGACAAAAACAAAAUAAGCCAUUAUUACUCACACUCCAAAUUAUCAAGAUCCAGAUUUUUAAAAAAAAUUUAUUCUUAAAGUUUGGUCUUAUAAAGUCUGGGGACAAAAAUCUUGGGAAGAAAAACGUAUGAAUUUAUCAAAUAGUAAAUUUGAACGUUUCAAUUAUCUUGAUUAUAAGAAUGCUUGGUUUAAUGUAUUUUAUAUUCGACCAGUAACUCAUUCCUGAUUUAUAUUGUUCCAUCAAUUUUGUAAUCUUGUUUUUUCAAAAUGGUUUCAAACUUGGUUCAUAUACUUUGGCCUUGAGGAAAAUAUUUGUCCAGUCUCACUCGUCAUGGUUAUGAAUAUUUCAAAAAAGAGGCAAAACCUUUUUUACAGCCUCAAAAAAAUAUUUUAUUUCGAUUUGCAAUAAAUCUCAAAGUAUCAUGAAUAUUUUGCUGGGAGUUCAUUACUGCCCAAGCUGAACAAGAAUACUUUGUCAAAAAGAUUGUUAGAAUAUUCAAAAUUAAAUGGUGGUCAAAAUUCCAUGAAAAAACUGUUAUCCUAAGGUGUACAUUCAUGGAUUUAAGAACAAAGAAAUUUGAGAAUUCCAAAAUUUUCAAACAAAAAUCAAGAAAAGCAAGUUGAUUUCUUAACUGAAAAAUUAAGAUUUUUUGUUUGAAUAUGAAGAAUAAGAGCAUUAAGAAUUGCUCCAUCAUUGAGAUUAAUUGAAAAAUAGGGAUAACAAUUUGAAUAAACUGGUCCACUUUCUAAAUUUGAUUCUAAAACAAAUAAUAAUGAAUUUUCAAAUUUGAGAAGUCUCUUAUCUCUAAGAGUUAAGAGAAUGAGAAUGUCUAAACCAAGUCGAAACAAUGGUUUGACAGUUUAUAACUAUGUAUAUAUUUAAUUUCAUUUUGGAUAAGCUUUUAGUAAGUGAAGCUAUAUAGCGGGAUUGGUGUUAAACACCAUUUUAGAUUGUAAUUAAAAUGUGACAUUAAUUGAUGAAAUAAUUUAGUUCUUAUUUGGUAGUAUUUUUAAGUACAUAGAGCAUCUCAAAUAUGAUUUUUAUUUAUAAAGAGCGUCUUAUACAUUAUAGAGGAUAUCUAUAAAUUUAGAGAGUCAAAAACUUUAUGAACUCCAACAACGCUCUUUAUUUUAUCUCUUUAUUUUGUUUUUCUCAAGAAAUAUUUAUCAAUUUCUUCUUAUAUUUUAUUUAACAUAAAUUUGUAUAUGUCAAUGAUCAAUUAAUUUAAAUGUGUUCUAAAUAGUUUAAGAAGUAGAUUAUUGAAAUCUAUGACUUAUUAAAUGAAAUCAUGGUACAAUAAGGAUAGAGAAUGAGUUUGACACUCUAAGUUAAAAUAGAAAGUCUCUUAGAGCUCACUUUUAAGCAUUAUUUCUUUUAAAUAAAAAGCAUUUUGUAUUUAAAGAGGUUUUUUUUUUUUUUUUUUUAAUAAAGAUGUUCUUAUAGUAGGUUUUUUGAAAUUUGUACCUAAUAAGUAGAUAGUAAUUGUGGCUGUGUGGAUAAAACACAUGCUUGAUCAACUUAAAUUAAAAUUUAAACUUUGUUAUACAUGCUAAAUGGGAUUCAUAUUUCUACAUUUAAUAUCUACUAUAAAUCGUAGGGUACUUAACAAGUUUUACUACGCCCCCGUUUAGUUUGGACAAUAAUAUACUUUUAGUAAAUUUUAAUAAAAGUUAGGGAAAUGUGUAAUAGAAAAGUUGAUUAAAGUUGUGGAUCCCAUUAAAUAUAUAAUUGAAGAUGAAUUUGGAGGGAAAAAAAAUAAGUUUUAAGACAUGAGAACCAAACAAGAACUCCAUAACACGAUAAUUGUGCAGUUGGAUUCACCUAACAUGAUUUGUUGUGUACAAGGUAAAUUUGGCAACAUUCACAACAAAAAUCAUGUGUCAAUUCACACCAAACAUGUUUUCAUGAGGGCCACCGUGGUGGUGCAUAUCUUCAAGACGGCCACGUUGAUAACGCUGGUGGUGCAUGGACAUGCACCCUUCUAGUAGUCUCCUAUAAAGCCAUAAUAUUUCUCCACUUUCACUUCAUCAUCAAACAAUUUAGUAACCAUGUCUACUGCAUACUUUCUAGUGUUCUUCCUUGGGCUAUUGGUUCUUGCGAUUCCGGCGGCCGCCCAUGGUGGUUCUGCCUAUGACGAGGAGAGCCAGAAAACUCUUAUAGACCGUUUUUAUGCUAGAAUCAAGAACAAGCCCUCACGUGUAGCAGCAGUAAAGCCUCGUGAUUCUCAACCAGCACUAAAAACAAACAUUCAUUUAGCAGAGGAAGCAUCAAGGAAAACCACCAUGAACCAAGAGGGAGAACCUAAGUCCAAGCAAGCAGGUUGUCCACCGGCAGCAACUGCCAUGAAUCGAGCGGAGCAACCAGCUAAGCCCGCAGGUUGUCCACCGGGAGCAACCUGCAUGAAUGCAGCGGAGGAAUCGCCUAAGCACAUGUCUGCAGGUUGCCCACCGGCGGCAACCACCAAGAAUCUAGCAGAACAACCAGUUAAGCCAGCUGGUUGUCCACCGGGAGCAACCUGCAUGAAUGCAGCGGUGGAAUCAUCUAAGCACAAGUCAGCAGGUUGCCCACCGGCGGCAACCACCAAGAAUCUAACAGAACAACCAGCUAAGCCGGCUGGUUGUCCACCGGGUGCAACCUGCAUGAAUGCAGAGGAGGAAUCACCUAAGCACAAGUCAGCAGGUUGCCCACCAGCAGCAACCGCCAUGAAUCAAGCUGAACUUACAGCUAAGCCAGCUGGUUGUCCACCGGGAGAAACCUCUAGGAAUGCAGCGGGAGAAGCAACUAAGUCCAAGCUCGCAGGUUGUCCACCAAAACCAACCUCCACCUAAGCCAGCAACCGGCUCCAAUGCUGUGGUGAAAGGGCAUAACCCGGCUUCAAUACCAAAAGAGGGAAGUGAUUGACGACUUUUGUAAUGUUGUCAACAAUGUAGUUUCUACAAACAAAAUAAUAUUAUUAUGGAAAACUUUUAUUGCAAUCUAUGUUAAAUGAAAUCUUACCGUAAAAAUGCUUUCUAAAAUAUCUUGAUUGCCAUGUUUUGGUUAAGUUCAUUUCACAAGGUCCUUUCUUUUGCAUAACAAGACAUUCAUGUUUUUAGUAAAUGAACAAUUAUAUGACGAAAUCAAUGCAUAAGGUGCUCGACCUGAUUUUAGUGCAAAUAUUGUUAAUAGAUCAUUUUUGGACAAAAUGUACGAGAUUCUUGAUUAACUCAAGUUGUCAUUAAAG